UUUUUUUUUUUUUAAGUUUUCAGAACCCUCCUGGAUAAUGGGACUUAGUUUUCAGUUUUCAGGGCCUUCCUAGAUAAUGGGAUGUAGUUUUAGGUUUUCAGGACCCUCCUGAAUAACGGGAUUUAAUUUUAAGUUUUCAGGACCCUCCGGGAUAAUGAGAUUCAGUUUAAGGUUUUCAGGACUCUUCUGAAUAACGAGAUUUAAUUUUUAUGUUUUUAGGACCCUCCUAGAUAAUGAGAUUUAUUUUCAAUUUUUUAGGACCCUCCUGGAUAAUGAGAUUUAGUUUUAGUUUUUCAGGACCCUCCUGGAUAAUAGGAUCUAGUUUUAAGCUUUCAGGACCCUCCUGGAUAAUGGGAUUUAGUUUUAAGUUUUCAGGAAUCUCCUGGAUAAUGGGAUUUAGUUUUAAGCUUUCGGUACCCUCUUGGAUAAUGAGAUUUAGUUUUACGGUUUCAGGACCCUCCUGGAUAAUGGGAUUUGAUUUUAAGUUUUUAGGACCCUCAUGGAUAAUGGGAUUUAGUUUUAAGUUUUGAGGAUUCUCCUCGAUAAUGUGAUUUAGUUUUAAGUUUUUAGGACCCUCCUCGGUAAUGAGAUUUAGUUUUAAAUUUUCGGGACCAUCAUGGAUAAUGGGAUUUAGUUUUAAGCUUUCAGGACCUUCCUGAAUAAUGAGAUUUAGUUUUAAGCUUUCAGGACCCUCCUCGAUAAUGAGAUUUAUUUUUAUGUUUUUGGGACCCACCUAGAUAAUGAGAUUUAGUUUUAUGUUUUGAGGACCCUUCUAGAUAAUGAGAUUUAGUUAUAAGUUUUCAUGACUCUCCUCGAUAAUGGGAUUUAGUUUUAAGUUUUCAGGACCCUCCUGGAUAAUGAGAUUUAGUUUUAAGUUUUCAUGACCCUCCUAAAUAAUGAGAUUUAGUUUUAAGGUUUUAGGACCCUCCUGGAUAAUGGGAUUUAAUCUUAAGUUUUCAGGACCCUCUGGGAUAAUGGGAUUUAGUUUUAUGCUUUCAACACCCUCCUGGAAAAUGGGAUUUAGUUUUAAACUUUGAGGACCCUCCUGGAUAAUGGGAUUUAGUUUUAAGUUUUCAGGACCCUCAUAAAUAAUGAGAUUUAGUUUUAAGGUUUCAGGACCCUCUUGGAUAAUGGGAUUUAGUCUUAAGUUUUCAGGACCCUCCUAGAUAAUGGGAUUUAGUUUAAGUUUCGAAACUCUCCUGGAUAAUGGGAUUUAGUUUUAUGUUUUGAGGACCCUCCUAGAUAAUGGGAUAUAGUUUUAAAUUUUCAGGACCCUCCUCGAUAAUGAGAUUUAGUUUUAAGUUUUAAGGACCCUCCUAGAGAAUGGGAUUUAAUUUUAGGUUUUCAGGACCCUCAUGAAUAAUGAGAUCUAGUUUUUUUGAAGUUUUCAGGACCCUCCUGGAUAAUGUGGAUUUAGUUUUUUUGUUUUAAAGACCCUCCUGGAUAAUGUGGAUUUUGUUUUUUAUUUUUAGGACCCUCCUGGAUAAUGGGAUUUAGUUUUUAGUUUUCAGGACACUCCUAGAUAAUGAGAUUCAGUUUUAGGUUUUCAGGACACUUCUGAAUAACGAGAUUUAAUUUUUAAGUUUUCAAGACCCUCCUAAAUAAUGAGAUUUAUUUUCAAGUUUUCAGGACCCUCCUGGAUAAUGAGAUGUAUUUUCAAGUUUUCACGACCCUCCUGGAUAAUGAGAUUUAGUUUUAAUUUUUCAGGACCCUCAUGAAUAAUGGGAUCUAGUUUUUUUGAAGUUUUCAGGACCCUCCUGGAUAAUGUGGAUUUAGUUUUUUGUUUUCAGGACCCUCCUAGAUAACGUGGAUUUAGUUUUUUUAUUUUUAGGACCCUCCUAGAUAAUGGGAGUUAGUUUUCAGUUUUCAGGACACUCCUAGAUAAUGGGAUUCAGUUUUAGGUUUUCAGGACCCUUCUCAAUAACGAAAUUUAAUUUUUAAGUUUUCAGGACCUUACUAGAUAAUGGGAUUUAGUUUUAAUUUUUCAAGACCAUCCUGGAUAAUGGGAUCGAGUUUUAAGCUUNNNNNNNNNNNNNNNNNNNNNNNNNNNNNNNNNNNNNNNNNNNNNNNNNNNNNNNNNNNNNNNNNNNNNNNNNNNNNNNNNNNNNNNNNNNNNNNNNNNNNNNNNNNNNNNNNNNNNNNNNNNNNNNNNNNNNNNNNNNNNNNNNNNNNNNNNNNNNNNNNNNNNNNNNNNNNNNNNNNNNNNNNNNNNNNNNNNNNNNNNNNNNNNNNNNNNNNNNNNNNNNNNNNNNNNNNNNNNNNNNNNNNNNNNNNNNNNNNNNNNNNNNNNNNNNNNNNNNNNNNNNNNNNNNNNNNNNNNNNNNNNNNNNNNNNNNNNNNNNNNNNNNNNNNNNNNNNNNNNNNNNNNNNNNNNNNNNNNNNNNNNNNNNNNNNNNNNNNNNNNNNNNNNNNNNNNNNNNNNNNNNNNNNNNNNNNNNNNNNNNNNNNNNNNNNNNNNNNNNNNNNNNNNNNNNNNNNNNNNNNNNNNNNNNNNNNNNNNNNNNNNNNNNNNNNNNNNNNNNNNNNNNNNNNNNNNNNNNNNNNNNNNNNNNNNNNNNNNNNNNNNNNNNNNNNNNNNNNNNNNNNNNNNNNNNNNNNNNNNNNNNNNNNNNNNNNNNNNNNNNNNNNNNNNNNNNNNNNNNNNNNNNNNNNNNNNNNNNNNNNNNNNNNNNNNNNNNNNNNNNNNNNNNNNNNNNNNNNNNNNNNNNNNNNNNNNNNNNNNNNNNNNNNNNNNNNNNNNNNNNNNNNNNNNNNNNNNNNNNNNNNNNNNNNNNNNNNNNNNNNNNNNNNNNNNNNNNNNNNNNNNNNNNNNNNNNNNNNNNNNNNNNNNNNNNNNNNNNNNNNNNNNNNNNNNNNNNNNNNNNNNNNNNNNNNNNNNNNNNNNNNNNNNNNNNNNNNNNNNNNNNNNNNNNNNNNNNNNNNNNNNNNNNNNNNNNNNNNNNNNNNNNNNNNNNNNNNNNNNNNNNNNNNNNNNNNNNNNNNNNNNNNNNNNNNNNNNNNNNNNNNNNNNNNNNNNNNNNNNNNNNNNNNNNNNNNNNNNNNNNNNNNNNNNNNNNNNNNNNNNNNNNNNNNNNNNNNNNNNNNNNNNNNNNNNNNNNNNNNNNNNNNNNNNNNNNNNNNNNNNNNNNNNNNNNNNNNNNNNNNNNNNNNNNNNNNNNNNNNNNNNNNNNNNNNNNNNNNNNNNNNNNNNNNNNNNNNNNNNNNNNNNNNNNNNNNNNNNNNNNNNNNNNNNNNNNNNNNNNNNNNNNNNNNNNNNNNNNNNNNNNNNNNNNNNNNNNNNNNNNNNNNNNNNNNNNNNNNNNAUAAUGGGAUUUAGUCUUAAGUUUUCAGGAUUAUAAUUAUAUAUAUAUAUAUAUAUCUUUAAUUAUAUAUAUUAAGUUAGCAAGAAAGAUAAAAAAAUCACGUUCAUGUAGUAUGUUAGCAAAACAGAAAUAUAUACUCAAAAUACAAAAAUGGAGGACAAUAUUUCAUUCAUUAAAAGUCAAUACUCAAAACAAACUACUCAAAAAUAUUUUUAAAGUACUCAUGGCAUAGUCAACACCAAGAUCAUCUUCAUUAAGUACAUUUGAAUCCUCUUGUGAAACAAAGAUGUCUUAACAUCUUUAUUUUUAUCUAAAUAUAUAAUUAUAUGCAAUGUUAAUUAGUUAACAUUAAAAAAUAACUAAAAUUUUAUGAACAAAAAAUAUUUAUAUUCGCAUGAAAAAAAUAUUACCAGUUUGAGAUUACAUUACUUUUUUUUUUGUUGUUAUUUUUAGUUUCUUAUAUUUUUAUAUUUUUAAUUAAAUACGUUAUUAAGCCCACGGCCCGGCCCGGCCCAAACUCGGUCAAGCCUCAUGGGUCACUGGCUUAUUUGGGUGGGGUUAAAAGCCUCGUUUAUAAAUGAACUCCAAAAAUCUUAGCCAACCCUAUUAAAUUACGUGUUCGGUUGGACCGGCCUAUCGGGUCAAGCCCAUAUUGACGGCUCUAUUAAGCACCAUGUUGCGGCCCUAAUAUUAAUGUCGAUACUAAAUGAAAAAUAAAAAAUUAAAAGGUAUGACGAUUCAACAAUUUAAAUUUCUAACACAAUUGGUUUUCUCAAAUAAAAAAAUACUACAAUCAAACAUUAUUUGUCUCGUUAAAUCACAAUUAGAAUUGUAGUCUUUAGGUGAAGUUUCUUUUACUUUCUUUAAUUAAUUCAAGAAAAAGAACUUGAGUUGUUCAUGUAAAAAAAUUAUUAAUAUAGUCAAAAUUCAGGAUUAAUGUUGAAAUCGUACCAAGUAGCCACAUUUAAUGUUACUAUUUGGAACAUAAUCAUAUUUUAUACUACCCGUUCCAGUUUAUGUGAACCUAUUUCCUUUUUGGUCCGUUCAAAAAAGAAUGACCCAUUUCUAAAUUUGGAAAUAAUUUUGCUUAAACUUACAAUUCUACCCUUAAUGAGAAGCUUUUAUAACCACACAAAUACUCCGGUCCCCUUUUUGAAUUGUUUAGGACCACAAAUUCCAAAAGCAUUCAUUUUUUCUUAAACUCCGUGCCCAGUCAAACAGGUUCACAUAAAUUGGAACAGAGUGAAUAAUGUAUUAAAAUUUUAGUCAUUUCGCUGUUGCUUCCUCCUCCACUCUCAUGAAUACCUUGACAAAUCUUUUAUAAAUUUCAAACAUUAACCUACCUUAAUUUAUCUGACUUAUCAAGUCAAAAUACUAUAAAAACUUAAAUUAUCAUGACAAAGAAAAUUAAUGUUGCAUUAUUUUUUAUGGUUUAUCACAAAAUUGCAGUUAAACCGAAUUGCUAAAACUUUGAACUUAUUAUACUUGAGGUCCCGAAACAUAUCUCUGCCGCUUUAUAAAAAUUAUGACUAUACAGAGUACAGACCAAAAAAAAAUAAAAAUAUAUGACUAUAUUUUAAAUAUUCAGAUUAUUAGCAAUCGUAAAAGUGGCUAUUAGUGCACUUGCCCAUUAUUUCUCGGACUGGUCCAAUAAAUACAUGAAAAUUCGAAAGAGACCCCCAAAUUUUGCGAAGUCAUGUCUUCACUUCUCUACACUCGCAGUCGCUUCUCUGCCGCUCUUAGAGUAUUCACUCUGCGCAGAUUUUCUUCCACAGUCACUUGUAGUAAAACUCCUUAAACUCCCACUUUUCUCUUUCUCUUUAAAAUAUUUAUGCUUUUUUUUUUUUAAUUCUUUUGAUUUUAUGCAGAUGCUUCAGAAGAAGAGAAAGUCACUGAUGCAACUGAACAAAAUUCAAGAUUCAUUCACCCCUCUUCAGUUAUUCAUCCAAGUGCUAUUUUGGGUGAUGUAAAGUUACAUUCUUUUGUAUCUUUAUGCCUUUCUGUUCAUGAAAAUCUCAAGUCUUUAGCAUUUUUUUAUGUCAAGAGCAGCAUUUAUUUUUUGCCUAAUUAGUUAAUCAAUGGAUUUAUUAUAGCGACCGGGCCAGACGCAAUUCCGAUUGAAUUUUAGAAGUGUGUGGGCAUAGCAGCCUUGGAGUGGCUGACUGGGCUGUUUAAUGUUAUUUUUAGGACGAAGAGGAUGCCGGAAGAGUGGAGGUGGAGUACGGUGGUUCCGUUGUAUAAGAACAAAGGUGAUAUCCAGAGUUGUAACAAUUAUAGGGGUAUCAAAUUACUGAGUCAUACCAUGAAAGUUUGGGAGAGCGUGGUUGAAGCGAGGGUGAGGAGGACAGUGUCUAUAUCCGACAAUCAAUUCGGGUUUAUGCCGGGGCAUUCUACUACGGAAGCUAUACACCUUAUUAGGAGGUUGGUGGAACGGUACAGGGAGAGGAAGAAGGAUCUGCACAUGGUGUUUAUUGAUUUAGAAAAAGCGGACGACAAGGUUCCUAGAGAAGUUCUAUGGAGAUGCUUAGAGGCAAAAGGCGUGCCGGCUGCCUACAUUUGGGCAAUUAAGGACAUGUAUGAUGGGGCUAAGAUUCGGGUUAGGACGGUAGGAGGCGACUCUGAGCAGUUUCCAGUUGUUAUGGGGCUACACCAAGGUUCUGCGCUCAGCCUGUUCUUAUUUGCCCUGGUGAUGGACGCGUUAACACACCAUAUUCAAGGGGAGGUGCCAUGGUGUAUGUUAUUCGCCGAUGACAUAGUUCUGAUUGAUGAGUCGCGAACCAGUGUUAACGAGAGGUUUGAGGUCUGGAGACAGGCCCUUGAGUCUAAGAGUUUCAAGCUGAGCAAGACGAAGACGGUAUACCUGGACUGUAAGUUCAGCACUGAAUCGAGGUAAGUGGGCGUGGAAGUGAGGCUUGAAUCACAGGUCAUACCAAGUAGUGGCAAUUUCAAGUACCUUGGGUCGGUUUUCCAGAGGGGAGGGGAGAUUGACGAGGAUGUCACACACCGUAUUGGGGUGGGGUAGAUGGAGUGAAAGUUAGCAUCUGAAGUCUUGUGUGAUAAGAGAGUGUCACCGAUACUCAAAGGUAAGUUUUACAAAGCGCUGGUUAGACCGGCCAUGAUGUAUGGGGUUAAGUGUUGGCCUGUUAAGAACUCACAUAUCCAGAAGAUGAAAGUAGCAAAAAUGAGUAUGUUGAAGUGGAUGUGCGGUCACACUAGAAUGGAUAAGAUUAGGAAUGAAGAUAUUCAGGAGAAGGUGGGCGUGACUCCCAUUGAUGACAAGAUGCGGGAAGCGAGGCUUAGAUGGUUCGGACACGUACAAAGGAGAAGCCCAGAUGCUCCGGUAAGGAGGUGUGAGCGGCUGACUUUGGAGGGUACGAGAAGAGGUAGAGGACGGCCUAAGAAGUAUUUGGGAGAGGUGGUCAGGCAGGACAUGACGAGGCUUCAUAUUUCCGAGGACAUGGCUCUUGAUAGGAAGUUNNNNNNNNNNNNNNNNNNNNNNNNNNNNNNNNNNNNNNNNNNNNNNNNNNNNNNNNNNNNNNNNNNNNNNNNNNNNNNNNNNNNNNNNNNNNNNNNNNNNNNNNNNNNNNNNNNNNNNNNNNNNNNNNNNNNNNNNNNNNNNNNNNNNNNNNNNNNNNNNNNNNNNNNNNNNNNNNNNNNNNNNNNNNNNNNNNNNNNNNNNNNNNNNNNNNNNNNNNNNNNNNNNNNNNNNNNNNNNNNNNNNNNNNNNNNNNNNNNNNNNNNNNNNNNNNNNNNNNNNNNNNNNNNNNNNNNNNNNNNNNNNNNNNNNNNNNNNNNNNNNNNNNNNNNNNNNNNNNNNNNNNNNNNNNNNNNNNNNNNNNNNNNNNNNNNNNNNNNNNNNNNNNNNNNNNNNNNNNNNNNNNNNNNNNNNNNNNNNNNNNNNNNNNNNNNNNNNNNNNNNNNGUAGGGUUUUUUGUCGAUGUCAUCUAGUGGCAAUGUUGUGUCUUACUACUCCUUUGUUUACUAUAGUGCCGGGUCUAUGUACUGUCUAUCGCGUUUGCUUUGCAUCUACUUUCUCAUUUCCAUGAUAUUAUUUUUCCUAUGGUUUCUAUUGGUGAUACUGAUAUUGUCUCUUUUCGUCUUUUUGAGCCGAGAGUCUUUCGGAAACAACCUCUCUACUCCCUCGGGAUAUGGAUAAGGUCUGCGUACACACUACCCUCCCCAGACUCCACUAGUGAGAUUUCACUGUAUCGUUGUUGUUGUUGGAUUGGUUAUAUGAGUUCUCCGUAACCCAUUUAAAAGAAUUUAAGUUAUAUACAAUGUCAGCGUAAAAUUACUAUUAGUUACUUUUAACAUGUGAGAGCAAGUUACUUACCAUUUUUAAUAGAUUACCAAUUAAUGCUUGUCAAGAGAUUUACCUAUUAUGACCUAAUAAGUGACUUGAUUGUGUAAAUAUUUUUUGCACCGUCAAAGAUUUAUCACAUGCUAACUUUUGCACAUAGGUGGAGUGUUUUGUUUUUUUGCUUUUAUAAAUAAUUUUUUUUUUUGGUUUUGCUUCAGUAGUAUAAUGCAGAAAAUUAGAGUGUUUGAUUAGGGUUGGAACCUCUGGUUAUAAACUUACAACGCGGUCUUGUCAAGUUAAGUUGAGAAUGUGAGGAUAAAGUUUCAAACUUUUAGCUGCAUAGGGAAUAAUAGGUCAUGGUCGUCAACAUUCGAUGCCAUUGCUCUGGUGAUACGUGUCCUAUUUUAUAGCUUUUUUAAUUACAGCUUAGCUAGUGAAGAUUUGAGAUGAGGAAGGUUGAAGAUCUUUUCUCCAAGGAAACUUUAUCGUAUGCACUCUAAUAUUUGAAUAGGUGUUGUACUUAUCUUAAAAUGUUGUAUAGUCGAGGGACUUCAUAUCUUUUCCUCUUGGAAUUAGCGGACUUAGCUAAAUUUAGAAGAAAGUGGAGGUAAACUAUCCAUAUUGGUAAUUCCAACUAGUUCGGAUUAAGGCUUACUCGUUAUUGCGCUUACAGUAGGUUAAAUGUUUGCUAAGAGUCCUCGUAUUCUGGUAAAAACUAUAUCUCAGUAUAGGGACUAGUGUGAGAUUAGAGAAUUCUAACUUUAGAGAACCCCAAAUUUGCCAUACAAGACAAAUAAUUUAUUUUUUGGGCUGAAAUAUGCACGAAAUAUAACAAAAUGACUGUCGGUGAUUUCAUAUAGCCAAUCCCACCUAGUUGGGAUUGACACAUAGUUGGUCUAUUGGUUGAUUGAUCAAUUAGGAUAUUCACAUUUCUCCCUGUAGUUCAUUUUAGCUUUAUCCAAUUUUGUUGGAGAUGUUUAUCAGCAUUUCACAAAUAGUUAAAGGAACUUUCUCUGCAUGUAGGUUGUUUCAAUUGGUCCCUUCUGUACCAUCGGGCCUUUCGCAAAGUUGGGGAACGCUUGUCAGCUGUAUCCUGGAAGCCACAUUUUCGGAAAUACUGAACUGGGAGAUAAUUGCAUUCUUAUGACGUGAGUUAAUUUUUUUUAGAUUUACUUCCUUUCUGUCUCCAGUAUCGUUUAGGCUGCAUAUUUUUAGCAGUGGUGCUGUAAUUGGAGAUGCUCUUCCUGGUCAUACAGUCAUCGGGAGAAACAAUAUUUUUGGGCAUCAUGUUGUAAUUGGUGUCAAGUGCCAAGACAUGAAAUAUAAGGUCGGUAUCCUGAUGUUAAACUCGUUACUGAAAAAAGUUCAAAUUAUAUGAGAAAUAUCUUAAUUCCUUCACAGUUAAAUUUAUCCAAUAUUAUACUAGAUCAUCUUAUGACGCAUUGAGUUAUUUGGUUUGGCUUAUGAGCUCAGAGUGGUUUCUAUCAAUUUGAUGAUCCAUUUCCACAUCAUGAUCACUCUCUUUCCCGCCCUCAAAUUGAAGUAGUCGGUGCUUAUUUGAGAAUGCAUAUAAUCAUUAUCUUGUUUGUAAUUUCAUCAUUUCAGUUUGGGAAUGAGUGCUUUCUCGAGAUUGGUGACAACAAUGAUAUCAGGGAGCAUGUAUCCAUCCAUCGAUCUUCAAGUCCUAGUGAUAAAACCGUACGAAACUAGCUCGUUACUAUUUUUGCACUGGAGAAAUUAUAAUUCUCAGUACAUAUUUAUCUUUAAUGAGCUUAUAUAAACAGGUUAUUGGUGAUAACAAUCUUAUUAUGGGCUCAUGCCAUAUAGCUCAUGACUGCAAAGUGGGCGACAACAAUAUUUUGGCAAACAGUACACUUCUCGCAGGCCAUGUUCUGGUGGAGGUCAUUGACUCUCCUCUUUAGUCAUUUUGCAAAGCAUGACAUAUUCUGGAAAAUUUGAUCCAACUGUUGGAUGAUGGUUUAAAUUCUUAACAUGCAGGACUAUGCUCACACUGCAGGAGGUAUUGUAGUUCAUCAAUUUUGCCAUAUUGGUUCUUUUUCUUUCAUUGGAGGUGGUUCAGUGGUAAGAUUCUAUUCUAAUUCAAAUUGUUAGCUGUUUUUUUGUGUAAUUUACUCCAGUAAAAGGAGAAUACUGUUUUUCGAAAGUUAAAGGCUUCCGCUCAUUAUAAACUAAGAUAACAGUAGUUUCAUAGUUUGAAUGUUCUUCCUGAAUGCAAACAUGGUUCAAGUUAGCAAAGCAUCUAUAACAGCUAGAUUCUUACGUUUCUUUAUAACUUGCACCACAUGAUAGCUUAGCUUCUAACAUCUUAGUUUGAGUGGAAGAUCUUCAAAUAGUUUCUUCUGCACUGCUAAAUUUAAAGCACAGAUAUCCAAAGUGCAGCACGCUAACUGCGAUAUUUUAGAUCAGUGUGUUUCCUGUUGGGAUCUCAAUCUUUUUGUUCUCCAGGUUUCUCAAGACGUUCCAAAGUACACGAUGGUGUCGGGGGAAAGAGCUGAGCUUCGUGGGUUGAAUCUUGAAGGCCUAAGACGUCGUGGAUUCUCUGCUACAGAGGUUCGUUUCAUUUUAAAACAUUGCUCUAUAUUUCUAUCAAAUAGAUGUAGGAAUUUAAAUUUUGAUAAGUGGAAAACCAUAUAUGUGUGAUAUUGGAUCGCUCUCGAUGUUUUAAAUUGGUCUUGUAUCUUCAUUGCAUUGGUCAUUUUGAUUUUGCAAGUGGAAUCAUGAGCCAGUUCCUGCUAAAAUACUGGUUUGUAAUUAACUCUUUUGCCUACUGUAAUCAUAGUGUCUCAGCGGCUAAAAUCCAAAAUCCUUUUCCCUAACCUUUGCUCUGACUUGUUUUCAACUUGGUAGUGUUUUAAUCAAUAAGAAAAAGCUGCUUCUGUUCUGUGCUGUUCAUUCGGAGAAAAGACAUGCUGCUGCAUAUAUUGAACAUGUGCUAAGUAAGAAUGUUCCCAAUGAGGAAGAAAUUCUUUGAAAUAUUUAAAUACUGAUCCUAAAGGUUGACAUAUGUGACAUAUUGCAUAAUCUGGUAAGUUGAAACGUUUCUCAUUUAAAUUUUUUCUUAAGCAACACAUUUGGGGUUUAAUUAGAACUUUUAACCUUUUCAACAUUGGAUGCGCAUAUACUGUUUUUAUGGAAGUUACAAUGUCAGAUGUUGUUUAAGAGAUUUACACGUUUUACCAUUUCAAUUUAUUUUACUUUCUGCAAUAUUCUUAAUCUUUAAAAGCGUAUCUCAUUCCCCACAAAUUAGAGGAUGUUAAGNNNNNNNNNNNNNNNNGAUGUUAAGACUUAAGUAUUGUACGUAGGAUCUUUCUAUCAAAACGUCUUACUUUAUGGAAGCCACUCCACAGCCACCACCAAAUAAACCGUUUUGGAAAAUUUGUUGAGAUGGAGAUUAAGAUAUAACAGCUUAUAUGAGAUUUUUUCUUAAGUUUUGAAAUAAAGAAUACGUUACAAAGCCUUCACUGAUUUGUGUCUCAGUUAUCUUUUUCCCAGUAAAUCAAAAACGGUUUCAAAGAGAUUAAUGUGGUCCGAUAAGAUGAAAUCUGUAGAUCAUUUUGCCCCCAAGGAUUUGCUUCAGUUGUAAAGAUGAAACAUGUGAUGUGUGGAUUCGGCACACGUCAAGUGUACAAACUUUGUCACAGACAAAGCCUGGUAUUUAAGUUGGGAGGUGGGAAGAGGGGUUCCCGGAGUUGUGAACCUGUGCGUCAACACAAGAUGAGCAAGCAGCCCACACGGGAUUUCUCCGAUAUUAAAAAAUAAAGAAUUGUAGAUCUUUUUUCCUUUUCCAUUACAAGCUAUUGAAAGAUUGGUCUGCUAUCAAUUUCAAUAUGUUAAAUUGCUCUAAUUUUAUCCUUAACUUUUAUAUUCCUGAUUUUAAUUUAAUAUUUUCUUGGCAAGUAUCCAGAUUAAGAGCAUGAGAGCAGCUUAUAGAGAGAUAUUUAUGCCUACUGAUACGAGUUCUGGGAAUAUUGAAGAUCGACUUGCUCAAGUGGUAUUGAGUUGCUUUGAAUUUUUUGAUUGAUCUUUUCUGAUAAGGAAACAAAUAUAAGUACUAUUUGAUUGAUAGUAUCCCUCUUCUAAAAAUGAUGUAAAAAGGCAACGUAUUUUCAGGAGCAACACAAAGAGCUGAGUCUACUUCCAGCUGUCUGUUCCAUGGUACAGUCAAUACGUGAUUCUUUUGCUGAACAUCGCCGUGGAAUUUGCAAAUUUAGAAGUCGGAGUGGAUCUUAGCUCCUUUUCUUCGUAAGUUUGCUGUUUAUUUUACUUUUCGUAUGCUGUCCUAAACAUAUAUUAUACUAUCUGCUUGUUACUUCCUGUACUUUGAGUUGCAUCAACUGAAACUUGGUUGCCUGAUUUUUCAACCAUUUUUAAGUUUUCUUAACCAAUCUCUAUACUUAGUUGCAUUGUUUCCUGGAUUUCUACUUUUGGCCACAUUAAUUUUUUUCAUGGUGGUGCUUGUAAUUUUGCCAUCUGAUGUAAACUGGCAAUAGAAAUACUUCACAGCUAUUUCUUGCUUAAGUUUCAACAUUGACUUCAAGUCCUGAAUUCAUUCUAAUGGAGAAGCAUUUUAUGUGCAUACACAGUAUCCUUAUGAAGGAACGGAAUAGCAUCCUUUUCUACUUACAAUAACAUUCGCGACCGAGUAAAUCUUUUCUGUAUUUAGAAUUAGUGACCACUAUGUAGUGUGUAUGUGUUGAUUGCAAAACAUUUACUGAAUACCUGGUUUACAGUACUUGACAUUUACGCAUCUCAUCUGAACUCACUGGGUGCUUGCAAAAUUCAAUACUUUUUGCACUUGCAGUAUUUUCUUGUGCUUUUUUAAUGAACUAACUGAAUAAAGUUAGUAACGUGAAAGGCUUCCAAUUCGUAGUGGCUAUACCUCGUAAUACAAUUAAUAUCUACCUUGUAUGACAGGUGAAAGCAAGCAUUUGAUAUUUAGUGCUGCUAUAAUUAGUUGAGGAAUUAAGAAUAUACGUUAUUUUACAGAUUCUUUCUGAGCUUAUAAAUAUGGAUAAAAAACCAUUUUUUUUCUUCUACUUUUCAGCAAGAAUACUGAGUUUCACCUCUAUCAUGGUCCUUGAUCUCGUAAUACGCCAAACUGUAAACAGGCAAAGAAAUGCUGCUCGUCUUGUGAAAGUUUUUAUAAGGUGAACAAUCCUGUACAAGGACCAUAAUCAUUAUUUAAGCUUAUUAUGGAGGACUAAUGAACUGAGAAGAAAUCCGUCUGAAUGGGCUAAAUGAAGCUUAUCAUAUCACAGUUUGUAUAUCUCAAAGUUGCAUCUUCCAGAUUCUUUUCGUUGAGUGUAGCAGUUCAUUGAGCUAUUCUGCACCUCCGGUAAAAACUUUAGUCCCUUGCUCUCUGUUGCGAUGAUAUUGACCACAGUAGCUGCUUUGGAUUCCAACCACAAUACCGCUUCUUUAUCACCUUGUAAUGAUAUACAUCAACGUUUGCAACCAAGUUCCCGCUUUCAUACUAGUUUUCAACCAAUUCCGAUCUCUGUUACUCUGUAUCUUUAGUUCUUUGCUUGGUCUCGUUUGAUGGAAGACAGUCAUUAGUGUGGAUGAACAAUCUUUUUCGAUAGCCACCAACUAUACUUCAAUACUGCUUGGAUUUACUAUUCGAAUUAAUCCGAAAUCUGGCAUAAGCAUGUCUGAUCUCCCAGAUACUUAGAAUGUGACUGAUUUUUAUUUCUUGGAAAGUUAACUAUUCUUUGGACAAUCAGGUCUACUUUGUGAUUGCACUUUUUAAAGGGCUUGUUUACUGCCUAUAUCAGAGUGGACUUGACUACUAGAGGAUGUCGAUUCCUCAAAAAUGAGUGCUAAAACUCUUAUAGAGGUUUAUAUGAAGGUUUGCGUGUGAUUAGUUCAAGUGGCAAAGGUUGAGGGACUUAUGACUUAGGUCAACCUGUUUGAGCCUUGUACGAUUUGAACUUAGCUUAGUAUUUAUAGAUGGGGGUUCUUGAUACUGUCAGUGUAUAUAACUUGUUUUUUUUUAAAAAUAUAACUGUUUUUGCGCAAAUCAAAAGAUUGAAGUUGAAAGUCCCAUUUCCUAUGACUUGUGAAAGAUUUUCGAUUAUAUGGGAUCUUAUAGUGUCAUUGCAGAUGUGAAGAAGAAACAGUGUUUAGCUAGUUCAUCCAAGGAUGAAAAGAUAGAACACAACUCUUAUAUUAUCUUGCAUUUUCUUUGGUUUCAGUAUUCGGUACUUGCAUUGGACUCGAUAUUAUAUUGCAGUAGUAGCCCCAACAACUUGUGGCAUGCCAGAGAUAUAAAACUCAAAACAUUAUACUAUGCCAAGAUAAAAGUCAGGAGGAAAAGUUAGGAAGAGAUAUUUUGUUUAUCUUUGUUCUUGAAAUUAAGAUUCUUUUUUGGGAUAACAAUUCCAAAUCAUGAGGGGUUGCAAGUACAAUGAUGAUAAACAAAUAUGUGGAUAUUUUCUAUAUGGAUAGAGACAAUCCCCUUUAAAAACUAAGAUUUUUUUGUCAUAGAUUUUACUAGCAAAGUAAUAAUAAUACAUAUUCAGUAAGAGUUUCUUCCCAUUUGCAAUGAACUGCAUUUUUUCAGCCUUUGGUAAUUUGGUCAUAACUUCUUGUAGGAAUGUCUAAAUGACGAACGGUUUGAAGCGUUAGAAACUAGAUUUAAAGAUCUUUCAUUUGAUAGGUAAAAGAGCAAUGUAUGAUGUUUUAGGCGUACGCCACAGGUUUGAAUGAUAUCGCAGAUAAAAGUUUGGUAUUAAAGAUCCAUCGAAUUUCGAACCAUGACCUGUUGGUCCUUGAAUUCAGAAAUUAGAUUUAAAAUUUGAAGUUUAUGGUUUCUUAUACUGACUUCAGCUCGGUUCACAGUUAAAUACUUAUGAAUUCCCGUGAAUUCUUAGGUUACACUUUUGAUCCGUCACUGCCUCCCCCUCCCCCUCCCCCACCCCCACAACGAAAAAAAAAGGUCUUCAAUUGCGUCGUAUUCCGCAAAACUCUUACUAGAUCAACAUCAAUAUUCUCUUUUUCACUAUUAUCCUACUAAGGCCUUCCUGUCAAUAUGAUCAAUAUAUCUACCUCUUUCAUCUAUUAGCGACUGACAUUGUCCUAUUUGAGCUAUUCUCAAAUCUGGGGAACUAAUUGCCUAGUGCAUGCAUAACUAAUUAAAUUGGUUAAUUAAAGUACAUAAAAGUUGGCUUGGACGCUAUCGUUAUAAAAAAAUUGAUGUAUCUGAUCUUAUUUUACAUACUUACCAUAUUCUACUAAAAAUAUAUCUAUCCAAAAACCUAUUAUAUAAUUUUGUGCACAAGAUGACCAAUAAUGGGUAUGUAUUUAUUAAAAGAUGCUCACGAAGAUGACUUUGUUGACCAUUUCUUUUCAAUAAUAGAGAGUUGAGAUAAUAGAGAGAAUAAAUAAUCAAAGGAGGUAUAGCCUUUUGAAUUUUAAAUACUGUUCAAUGACUAUCAAAGAUUGCGGUGAAAUUGGUAAGUACCUAUCCAUUUUUUAUCAGAGAUCUUAGAUUCGAGAUUUGAAAUUAGAAUCGUCUUUGAUAAAGAAUGUUCUACCGCCAAAAUGAGUCCAAAUUAAUCGAACCCCAAAACAGAUAUAAACCAUGAUGCCUGGGUGGACAACCAAAAGAAAUUGUUCUACAUGCGUAAACACAUGCCGGUACAUCCCGAAGGUCUUUGACUAAUUUAACUAUACAAAAAGUUAUAAUAGAUGAAUCUUGAAAGGUAGUAUUCAAAUGGGCACGUAGGGCAUUAAUUAAGGGCAAAUUUAUAGGUUUAACUGAACCCCAUUAUUUACCGGUUGGAAUAUAUGUCGACUUUUGAAAACAAGAACGUAUAUAUCGGUGGCGGUUCCAUAAAAUUAAUGCCUAAAGCCAACUUUUAAUAAGAAGUCUUAUAAUUUUUUUAUUCGUACAUAUACAAAAAAACAUUUAGUGUUGCCAUUUUUUUCAUAAUUAUUAUUUAUAGUUGUAACGAUCCGGCCGAUCGUUUUGAGUAUUAUAGCCUCGUUCCCCCAUAUAGUUUUUAUCUGUGUUUGUUGUUCCAAUGGCGGUUCCAUAAAAUUAGUGGCCUAAAACCAAUUUUUAAUAAGAGGCCUUAUAGUUUUUUUUAUUAGUACAUAUACAAAAAAAAAGUUAGUGUUGCUAUUUUUUCAUAAUUAUUAUUUAUAGUUGUAACGACCCGACCGAUCGUUUUGAGUAUUAUAGUCCCGUUCUCCCAUUUAUUGCUUAUCUGUGUUUGUUGUUGUUAUAUGACUUGUUAGGGUGGUUGGUUUGGUUCCAAGGAUGUUUCGGAAUGAAUUGAGACACUUUGUCCCAAGGUUGGAAGCCUAAGUUGAAAGAGUUGACCAGAUGUUGACUUAUGUGUAAAUGACUCUAAAAUGGAGUUUUGAUGGUUCCGAUAGCCCCGUAUGGUGAUUUUGGACUUAGGAGUGUGUCUGGAUGCUGAUUUGGAGUCCGUAGGUGAUUUGGGCUUGAAUUGGCGAAAGUUGAAAAAAUUGAAGGUUGGAGAGUUGAGAAGUUUGACCGAGAGUUGACUUUAUUGUUACCUGGCUCAGAUUUUGGUUCCGGAAGUUGGAAUAGGUCUGUUGUGUCAUUUAUAACUUGUGUGCAAAAUUUGAGGUUAAUCAGAGUUGGUUUAGUAUGUUGCAUCAUUAGUUUUGGAAGUUAGAAGUUCGUAAGUUCAUUAGGCUUGAAUCGGUCUGCGACUCAUAGUUUUAGUAUUGUUUGAUGUGAUUUGAGGCUUCGAGCAAGUUCGUAUGAUGUUUUAGGACUUGUUGGUAUGUUUGAUUGAGGUCCUGAGGGCCUCGGGUGGAUUUCAGAUGGUUAACGGAUUGAAAUUUGACUUAGAAGAGUUGCUGAAGUUGUUGAUGCCUGUGCUUCUGGUUUCCUCUUACGCGAUCGCGAGGAGAGGGACGCGAUCGUGGAGGGUAAGGUUUUGUAGGUGGGAAUUUAUUCUAUGCGAUCGCGUGGUUAAGGCUGCGAUCGCGAAGCUUUAAGGGAGUUAUGUUAUGCGAUCGCGUGGGAGAAGACACGUUCGCGAAGAAGGAAGGAGGGGUGGCAUGAAGCUACGCGUUUGUUUAUCACGAUCGCGUGGAGUUGGAUCCCUAGGCAUCGCGUUCGCGCGUAGAGUUAUGCGUUCGCGAAGGGUUAAGUUGGAAGCUUGUAAGUUUGUGCUUCGCGAUCGCGAAGGGGAGCAUCUGGGCACAAUAUAAGAUUUCAAAAAAUGUGGGUUAUAUUAUUAUUUCUCAUCUGAACUUUGGGAGUUCGGAUUGGGGAGAUUCUUGGAGGGAUUUUCAAGGAAUUAAUUGGGGUAAGUGAUUCUAACUCGGAUUUGGUUAAUAUACAUGAAUCUAUCAGCGUUUUUACCAGUUAAUUAGUAUUUUGGGUUGGAAAAAUUCGAAAUAAAUUGUAGAAACUUUAUAAACUAUAAUUUGAGGAUUUGAAGGCCGGGUUAGAUUGAAAUUUAGUAAUUUUGGUAUAGUUGGACUCGUUGUUGAAUGGGUGUUUGAAUUUUGUUGGAUUCCGAGACGUGGGCUCGGGGUUGACUUUUGAGUUAACUUUUUGACUAUUAUUAAAGAACUUAGCUUUAUCAUAUGGAAUCCUAUAGCUUGUGUUGAUCGUAUUGAGUUGUUUGUGACUAGAUUCGAGUCGUUCGGAGACCGAUUCGAGUGGCAAGGGCUUGUUGGAGUAGAGAUUUGUGCGAUUUGAGAUAAGUAACACUUCUAAACUUGGUUCUGAGGGUAUGAAUCGCUGAAAUACAUGUUAUGUGAUUGGUGUCGAGGUGACGCACAUGCUAGGUAAUGGGAAUGUGGGCGUGCACUAUAGUAAUGUGACUUGGUUGAUUCCGUGGAACUGUGUAGUCAUCUAAUCUUGUUAUUAUUUAUGUAUUCUCCAUGUGUUAGAGAAAUUAAGAUGUGAUUCAUAUUAGAGAUUAUGCUUAGGCUAUAUGCUGGUACUGUUGGGACCCACAUGGGUCGUUCUUUCGUUGUUGAGCUAUUUGCUUAAAUUGUAGUUAUACAUUAGUCGCAUUCAUCAUUUGCAUAUCAUAUCUUAGUCUCUGUUAUCAUUUAUUGUUGCAUCAUGUAUCAUUGUUGGGCUAAUUGGCAUGAGUGUUAUGAGCCCGAGAGACUGGAGAGAUUGAUGAUUGAGUGAGGUUGAGGGCCUGAUUGUGAGUGAUAUUGAUGGGAUCAGGCUGCACGCCGCAUCAAGUUUUAUUGAUUCAUGAUGGGAUCGGGCUUCCCGCCGCAACAAGUUUCAUUGACUCAUGAUGGGACCGGGCUGCACGCCGCAGCAGGUAUUAUUGAUUCAUGAUGGGAUCGGGCUGCGCAUCAAAGCAGAUUUUAUUAGCGCUUGGCAGGAUCCGCCCCUUCGGAGUCUGACAUAUUAACAGCGAGUGCAGAUACUGUACAGUGCUGAGUGUGAUGAGUGUGAGUUGAGAUAGUCAGAUUGAGUACUCUGAGAGUGUGAGUACGUGAGGUUACCAUUGUGAUGCAUCACAUGAGACAUGCACAUUUGACAUAUAGAUAUAGAGAGGUAACAUUCCUCGUAUCAGUCAUACUUGGCAUAUUUUAUCCGUGUUGAACUUAAAGUCUUAAACUGUUAAACUUAAAAAUAUGUCUAUAUUUUUGUACUGUUAUAACCUGGAUUUGAAUUGUAGUUGUCUCAGCUCGUCACUGCUUUCAGCCCAAGAUUAGUCCUACUAUUUAUUGAGUACAUUGGGUCGGUUGUACUCAUACUAUACUUUGCACUUCGUGUGCAGAUCCAGGUACUUCUGGACACAUCGGUUGCUAGCUGUGGAGCUUUAUCUGCUUGGAGACUAUUGAGGUAGCUGCCUUGGCGUCCGCAAACCUCGGCUCUCCUUCUUUUCAGUUAGUUUACACUGUUCUAUCCUUCUACACGGUUGUUUUUAGCAAUUAGAUAUAUUGAGUCGCAGUAUUUUUCUAUCAGUUAUUUAUGAGAUUUUUACUAUUAAGCUUAUUUCAUUAUGUGUUCAAUACAAAGAUGCGUGGUUAUUUGUGAUUACCGGCUUGCCUAGUAUUGCGAUAGGCGCCAUCACGAUAUGUGAGAUUUUGGAUCGUGGCAAUAGUAUAACAUUCUUAAAUGAUAAAGCCUUUAACUUCACAUAGUAAUAAUAUUAUUUAUAUUAGUAAGAAGUAACUUAAAUAAAUAAGAUAUUAGACAUGUAUUUUCAAUAUGUUAUCUUUGAUAUUGUUGUAAAGAAAAUAUUUACUAAUGUGAAGAUUUAAAUAAUUUAAUUCAAAGUUCUAAAAUAUUUUUAGUGUUAAAAAGUAGACAAUCUUUCUUUCUUUCUUUUGUCCAAAAUUUUUUGUACUUUUUUUUGUUACAAACUUUAAUAUUGUCUAGCUUGAAAUAAAAGCAUAAAAUUCUUUAUUGAAAAUUUUUCGGGACCUAAAUAAAAGCUUUUCUAGUCUCCUACUUGAGCCACCUGUCCACCCUUGAUAUUUUCAAUCAAAUUUUAUAGAGUCUCAAUUAAGAUAAGAUAACAAUUAGUGAAUGUGUUAUUUAGUUACCAAAUGUGAAUUAAGUUGGUUGAAUAACACGUCCAUGGGGUAGUGAUCUAUAAAUAAUUGUUGAUAAUUAAUCAGGACGGCUCAACGGAACUGGUGGCUUAAAACUAAAAUAUAUUAAAAGACCCUAAAAUUUCUUUCAUAAAAUUCUUAUAAUAUUGAGACAAAAAAAGCCUACAUGACUUUAAUCUAGUGGUGAGAGAGCAACGUAUAAUGUGUGUGUUAGGCGCACAUCAUAUGCUAUUGAACUCUAUCCUAUAUAAAAAUAUAACAUUAAGUAAAGAUGGUAAAAGGGUUGAGUAUAUUGUGUUUUGAACCUUACUACAUUUGUCUUGAGAACUUUUUAGCUAAAAAAGAUGAGACACAAAAGAACUUACUUUCUGAUGUGUGGACCAAUCAAAUGUGACAAAAGAAAUAGCUAAUUUAAAGAAUAUGAGUUGAAAUCAGAAAAUAAAAUAGUGAAAAAUAUGAAAAAAGACUAUACAUAAAUAAAGACAAAUAAAAUUGAUGAGAAGAUAAAUAUAUUAUUUAUUUAGUGAGAGAAAAGUUUUAUCCUAUUGACUCAUUCAAUCCUACCUUUACCAUUUUUUUUUAAAAAAAUUAAAAUUUAAACUNNNNNNNNNNNNNNNNNNNNNNNNNNNNNNNNNNNNNNNNNNNNNNNNNNNNNNNNNNNNNNNNNNNNNNNNNNNNNNNNNNNNNNNNNNNNNNNNNNNNNNNNNNNNNNNNNNNNNNNNNNNNNNNNNNNNNNNNNNNNNNNNNNNNNNNNNNNNNNNNNNNNNNNNNNNNNNNNNNNNNNNNNNNNNNNNNNNNNNNNNNNNNNNNNNNNNNNNNNNNNNNNNNNNNNNNNNNNNNNNNNNNNNNNNNNNNNNNNNNNNNNNNNNNNNNNNNNNNNNNNNNNNNNNNNNNNNNNNNNNNNNNNNNNNNNNNNNNNNNNNNNNNNNNNNNNNNNNNNNNNNNNNNNNNNNNNNNNNNNNNNNNNNNNNNNNNNNNNNNNNNNNNNNNNNNNNNNNNNNNNNNNNNNNNNNNNNNNNNNNNNNNNNNNNNNNNNNNNNNNNNNNNNNNNNNNNNNNNNNNNNNNNNNNNNNNNNNNNNNNNNNNNNNNNNNNNNNNNNNNNNNNNNNNNNNNNNNNNNNNNNNNNNNNNNAAAAAAUACUUUUAAAAAAUUGAAAAAACUUAAAAAUAUAUAUUUUGCAAAUUUCUUUUUUUCCUAGUGUUUACAAAAAAAAGAUUUUCCAGUUUUUACAAAAUAUAUGCUUUAAAAAAACUGAAAAACUGAUUUUGUUUUUUUGUAAAAACUGAAAAAAAGAUUUUCCUAAAGUAGUGGACUACAGGUGCAUUAGUUUUAAAAAAACGAAAAUAUUUUGUAAAAUAGUUUUUUUUUCAGUGUUUACAAAAAUAAAUACUUUAAAAAAAACUAAAAAAUAUUUUUUAAAGCAUUUUUUUUUUCAGUUUUUACAAAAAAAUUGCUUUAGAUUAAAAGAUGCUAAAUUUAGCCUUGGGUGAAAAUUAGGUCAGGUGGUGGGUUUUUUAAAACGGAUCGGGUAAAAAAAAGAAAUGGGUCGUUUUCAUCUGGUGCUGCCACGCGGCACUCCAUCCAAAUUAAGGGUAUUUUUUUUCCAAAGUAUAACGGGAUAAAUAUAAAUAACCCAAUAGUAUAACGAGGGGUAUUCUUAGAUCAUUUUCAAAUAUACAAGGGUAUAUUUGACCUUUUGCCGUACAUAAUAAGAUAUGAACACUAUAUUUUAAACUCACUGGCUCUAUAUUAUUGUAACGUUUUGAGAGAUAAAUCUUUAUCAUUUCCUAUAAUAAUUCCAUCUUGCUUUAUUUUGUCGUUUGUAGAGAUACCAAAAGUUGUUGCUUUCUACUAUAAGAACCCAAGUUGGAUAAUAUAUCCAACCAAAAAACAUUAAUGUCCAUCCAAUCAUCUUUCUCUUGGCCUUGCAUCCUAUUUUCAUAAACCCUACCUUGUACUACAACACAUCAUCAUAUAAACCAACUAACUAAAUAGUUGUUGAUAUACAACUCUCUUCCCUCCCCCCUNNNNNNNNNNNNNNNNNNNNNNNNNGAGUCUUUGGUGUUGAUAUUAGUACUAAAAACACACGUUUUUCCGAGGGACAAAACUAACGCGAGCCGUUUUGUUUGUUGAAAAUGGGAAGAAAAUGUUCACAUUGUGGUAACAUUGGUCACAAUUCAAGAACUUGUAGCACAUUGAAAUGUGCUAGUAAUGGUAGUUUUAUUGGUGGAUUAAAGCUUUUUGGAGUGCAACUUGACAUCUCUAAUAAUGCUUCAUCUUCUUCUUCUUCUAUUGAUCACUUGAAGAAAAGUUUUAGUUUGGAUUGUUUGACUCCUCCAUCUGUUAAUGAAAGCUGUGAAAAGAGUACUUCAAUUAAUAAUGGUUAUCUCUCUGAUGGCCUUGUAGUUCGUGUUGAGGAAAGAAAGAAAGGUAUGUAAUAAUUUUUUCAUACUUAUUGUCAACACAUUAAUUUCUAAUUUGUUACUCCCUUCGUUUCAAAUUAUCCAUCGUGAUUUUUAACAAUGGUAAUAUCAAAUUAUUUGUCAUUUUAGAAAUUCAAGACAAAAUUAAUUAUUUUUUUCCCAUUUACCCUUGAUAGUUAUUGUUCAUGAAGAUGGAGAUAGUACAUAAAUAGAAUAAAUAUCCAAUGUAAAUAGAUUAUAUCUUAAGACACAAAUAAGGGUAAAAUAGUUCAAAAUCACUUGUAAUGAAUAAUUUCUUAAGAGACGUAUAAAAAAGAAACACGACAGAUAAUUUAAGAUUGAGGGAGUAACGUAGAAUAAUUUUAUCUACCUUUGGUUCAAAGUUAAGGUCUUAUCCAAUAUAUUUUGAUUUUGUUUUGGGAGAAUCAUCAGCUUGACUCGUAUUUCUUCCUAUUUGCGUGGUGUCACAAAAACAUGCAUCUUUUAUGCUGGUUGUCAAUCUAUCACGACCAUCCUCUUUUAUAUUUGGAUCGAUAAUGUGAGCAAGUUCACGUUGAGUUGAGAUCUAUUUAUAACUUAAAUGGAACGACAUGACAGUGAUAAUUCAUAUAGGAAUAAUGUGAUUAUUGAUACUUAUUUAUAUUGGAUAAACAGGAGUUCCAUGGACAGAGGAGGAACACAGAAAAUUCUUAAUUGGACUAGAAAAGCUAGGAAAAGGAGAUUGGAGAGGAAUUUCAAGAAACUUUGUGACUACAAGGACUCCAACUCAAGUUGCAAGUCAUGCUCAAAAGUAUUUCCUAAGACAAUCAAGUCUCAACAAAAAGAAACGACGUUCCAGCCUAUUUGACAUGGUAAAUAUUUUUGCAUUAAUGACACCAACUAUUUUUAUCCAUAAUUUCACAUUUCCUUAUAAGUAGAUCUUUUGACGUAUUAUUUAUAGGAUUUAACCUAUGUUACUUGGAUCUUAUAAAAAUCAACGUCAUACUUGUGUAUGAUAUUUUCAAGAAAUACUGUAUUUGAAGCACCUAACAUAAGUGCAAUGCUAUUUUUGGAGGAUCCGAGCAAUAUAAAAUUUAAUUUAUAUACACUAAUUUUCUUACAAAAUCAGUGCAUUUUAACUCGUCACAGUUGUUAGUUACUAUUUUUACGAGUUUAGUAAAAAAUGUUAACAUAGAGACUUACUUGUAAUUGACUUAUAGGUGACAUGAUCAUGUAAAUAAUUUUUUUACACCAUAGUAAGAGAUGAGUUUAUAGAGAUUUUUGCAUAAUAUCGGCAUAGAAUGAGUGUAAAUGAAGUAAUGUGAUUAGUGAGAGUUCAUUUAGCCGACCACAAAUUUUUUUCGGAUUGAGACGUAAUUAUUAAUUAUCAGUACAAGAAUUAACUCUUAUUUGUAAACAUUAUAGGCAAGGAGCAACAACAAGAUGCAUGUUGAUGCCAUAACCAUGAAGUUCAAGCAUGCAGAUAAUUUUGCUGAUUGUCAUGACACAACAAUCUUAACAAACAAAGAUUGUCAAGAAAUUAGAGCAUCAUUAUUAGACUUAAAUUCAUUUGGAGAAGAUAUGUCAAUUGCCAAAGAUAAUCAAAGGAGUGAAAAUCCUCAACAACCGGAAGAGAUUUAUUCAGUACCAAUUAAGAAAGUGCCAAAUAAGUCAAUUUCUUCACUUGGAGCUCUUGAUUUGGAGCUAAGUCUCUCAGCUCCAAGAAAUAUUGGACCAAUUACAGUUACCUAACUUGUACUCCUAAUUAUUUCUCCUCUAUUUAAAAGUAAAUUUAAUUAUUAAGUGAUUAUAGCACAAUGAAUGUAUUCUCACCCUUUUUUCCCUAGGUAAAUAAUGAAUGAAUUUUCAGGAUCAUGCUAUUACUAAUAUAGGUUACACCUCUAUUCUCCAUCUCUAACUUCAAUUAUUUUUGCUAAUUUUCAAGAACAAAGCAAUUUGAAGAUUUGAUACAAUCACUCUACGUACAUUUGACCUUUAAUUAUUUUUAUAACUAAAAAUUAUUAAGAAAUAGAAAAAUACAAAAGAGUAAAGAGAGACCAAUACCUCUAAAAUUCAAAGUUGAGAAAAGAGGGAAUAUCCUCAAUUCCUUUUACAUUUUGGACAUAUUAAAUUUGUAAUAAUGAAAUUCCACUAGACAAUUGUGACAAAUUAAUCUUCCUUUCUACAAUAAAAGAGUGUUGUCAAUUCAACCAAUUUAUUGCAAAUUGGGGUAAAGGGUCAAAGAAGUGCAUUUUGGCUGGUCUUUUUAAAGGGAAGCAUAUCCUCUUUUCUGUUUCAUUAUCCCUUUUAUCUCUGAUAACAAAAACAAUUGUUUCAAGUAAUUCAAACAUAAUUAGAUUUCUUUCUUCUUCUUAUUCUUCAAGCUUUUUAUUUUGUUUGUUUAUUCCUUCAAACAUGCAGGGAAGUUUUAAUUUCCUAUAUAAUAACUUCUUUUCCUAAACUUUUCAUGCUUCACCUGAUUAAUCGUGUUGUAUUUAUACUGAUACAUCCCUCUAUUCCAUUUUAUAUAAUAGCGCUUUUUCUUUUAUAGUUCGUUAAAAAAAUGACACUUUUUUAAUAUUUAAUAUUUUUUUAACUUUAUACUAUUUUAUUUUACUCUUAAUGGUAUUCUCCUAUAGAUAUAAAAACGUCAUGAAAUAUUUAAGAUAAUAAGGAACAAGGUUACUUAUGAUAAGUGUAUUUUUUUCUUUAACAUCAUGCUUAAUCAAAUAAUACCAAAUAAAAUAAAAUUAAUGACUAUGGAUAGGAAAGUGUGGACGUUGAGAAUUAGGGUAGAGAGGUAGUUGAGUUUUGUCUUUAUUUGUUACAGUAACUUUGGUACACCACUUAGUGUCUUUCGUGUAUUUUUAUUUUUCUGGACUUUUUUUAUUACUUGUUGUUGCCUUCACUUCAGUUUUAAUUGCACUAACUAUUGUUAGUUGUGUGUUUGUCGCUUGAUUUUUUUGAUUGGCUUGCUUGUCAUUGGUCAUUCCCUUUAUCUUUCCUGAACCGAGGAUCUAUCGAAAACAAGCUCUUUGUCUUUUAUAAAGGUAGGGGUAAUGUCUGCAUACAUAUUAAUUAUACCAUAUUCUACUUGUGAGAAUACACUAGGUUUGUUAUUGCCGUUGUUGUUGUUGUAAUGGCCUAUAAACAUUAUGAAGCUUUAUAGGAAGGAGAUAUUGUAGGUUAAAACAGCAUCUCUUACUUUUCAAGUCUGCUAUUAUAUGAUAUCUACAAAUAAGAUAUACUUGGAUUUUAUGGGGUCAACUUUUACCUACAGAAAGGAUCCAUCAUCACCUUUACUCCAGAUAUAAAUAGGAUAAAGCAAGUGGAAAAAACCAAAAAACCACAUUCCUGAAACGUGUAUAAAUUGGAAACAAUGAAUAAUUGUACCAUAUCUGCCUACAAAAUACAGACAAAAUAAUUUGACAUUACUUGACAAAGGCCAAUGGACCACUAUAAUAAUAAUUUUACAAAAUUAUGGAUCCUGAAUCUUAUUUUCAAGACUUGUUUGGACUUAAGUAUUAACCAGUAGAAAUAAUAUAUGACCCAGAUUCAAAGACUUGUCGGUUGUUCAACCUAGCUUAUUGCUUGUAAUUUGUUCUUGCUUUCUCCCUCUCUCUACACUUAUUUUUCCUUUGCUUCUUAGAAAUGAGUUUAAAUUAAAUUAUAUGUAUGUGUAAAAAAUAUUAAUCUAAUCAAAUCACUCUGGAACUAGCUUACAGGGUGCGAGUUCGAUUAAACUCGUUGCUUUUGCGUAAACUUUGUAUUUAUACUUAGAAAUUCAUUAAAUAUGUAUAAAUAAUUACGAAUCAAGUAACUAAGACAGCUAUGAGUUUUGUGACAAAAUUAGAACUCAUAAACUUCAAAUUGUAGCGCCUCUAGGAUCAUUUAGAAAAUGAUUGCACCUAAUUCCAUUUAAUAAGCAUUGAUUAGUAUCAUAUAAUAAAAGAUCGUUGCACUAAUAACGUAAUUGUUUUAUACAGUUAAUGCAUAAAACUUAAUUAAAUGCUAGCUUUAUUAUAAUAACUUCACCAGAAACACUAAUCAAUCGGAGUACAAGUUUUUUCUUGGUUUCUAGUAUCUAGUUCGACCAGAAUUAAUCAGUAAAAUCCUUGAACCAUAUAAAACACACACCACUUUAUAUUUUUGGCAUUUUCUUGGUGUGUGUGUGUGUGGUGGGGGGUGGGGGGGGGGGCAUAUUUUAGCAUUUGCAAUAAAUCUUGUGUCUGUUUAAAUACCUGUCAUUUGUCAGGUCGUUCCUUCACUUUUUAGAGAUAGUGACUUUGGAACCAACAAGAAUCACUGUGUUAAAUACCUAUUACUAUCAAUGAGUUGUCAAGAAAUACAUUUUUUUAUAGCGAUAUUUGCAUUGAGAUUCGAUUAAAUUUGAGUUCGUGCCGAAAAGUCCCACAGUAAAAAUAAAAUACUCCCUAACGAAGGUAAUUCUAUAUCUAAAACUUGAAUUCGAGAUCUCUUAUUAAACAUAAAUGAAUACUUGUCGUUCCAACACAAUCAUUAUUAGGUUUAGAAAGUACAAUUUGGUCCUUCUCGUCACCUUGUUAUUAAUAAUGAUAUAGUAUAUGUAAAGUUUAGACUGCUAAAGAAAGAAAAUACGAUCGAAUAGGAAAUAGUGAUAACACCUUCAAGAUAUCUAAAUUUACAUAUAUACAUAUGUUUCCUGCAGAGGAUAGAAAGCUUUCCUCUUUCCCUUAGCUACCUCCAAUAACACAUUUGUGAUGUCAUUGAUUUAAAGUUUAGGGCAGAUAAGAUAUAUACAUAUACUGUUUACAGAAAUAUUUGCAUGCAUGUGAAUAUAUAUUCUUUCUUAAAUCAUACUCAAUACCAUGCACGGCACGGCUGAUUUAGGGGGCGGAAGGGGAUUCGCCCUAAUCACGACCCAAAUUUCACUAUGAGUCAUGAUGGCGCCUAACGCCGCCGUCAGACAAGCCAACAUUGAUUUAUCAAUUUAUUUACUCAUUUUAGUAUUUUUGAAAUCGUGAGUUUUCCUUAAUUUAACAGUAUAUCAUAGAAUUUACAAAACGAAUAAAAAUAUUAACAGGAACCAUAAUAAUGAUUAACCCGAAGAAAACCUCCAAAACCCGAUAUCACAAGUGCAUGAGUAUUAACUAGGAAAUAUGAUAAAAUACAACAUCUGUCUGGAAUACAAAUUAGACAGGAGAAUGUAAAUAACUUUGAUGGAGACUCUGUAUGCUGCGGAUUCGUAACAUAGAAUGUAGCUAACCGUAAGUCCCCGCAAUAACCGUACCUCUACACCCAAAAGACCACUAAACAUAUAUAUACCUGCACAAAAUGUGCAUCAAGUAUAGUAUGAGUACGUAAAUCAACGCGUACUCAGUAAGUAUCAAGUCUAACCUCGAAGAAGUAGUGACGAGAGGUCGACAUCGACACUUACUAAAGGUUCAAUAGAGCAAUAUAAUAAAAGCGUGAGCAGAUAUGAAGCAUACAGAAGUAAUGGGGUAAAUCUAUAAGUUACAUAGUCUUCCAAAUAUUUCCUUUAAAGCAUGAAUUUCUAAAUUUUGCAUUCUACCAUAACAACUCAGAAAAAAAAUGUCAAGUGUCAUUAUCAAAUAAAUAAGAAAUACCAUAAAAAUGUCGGGCAUUAGUGGAAAGAUUGGCUCAUGAAUAUUCGGGCUACUAACGAUAUAACGCACGAUUCUGCCGAGGUCGUUUGGCCCGAUCCAGAAUAAUGUGUACAUUGUCAAGGUCAAGCGGCACGAACCAUAGAUGCAUCUAUACUGCCGAGGCGUCCGUCCCGCUCCACAAGAAAGGAAGACAUUUUAUGAACCUCCGAAAUGAGAAGCUAUCACAAGGAUAACACGUAAGGAUGUACAAUUUCUAUUAACGGACGAGUAAUUCGCACAAAAAUUCAAGUACGUAAAAUUUCGGUCUUUUAUUAUUUCCUCUAACAAUUUCCAAUAUGGUUCAAGUACUUCAAUUAACAAAGGAUGCAAACAUUACAACUAAUUCAUGAUUUGGGUCCUAAACUACCCGGACAUAAGCAUAAUUAGUAGCUACGCACGGACUCUCGUGACCUAAUGCGUACGUAGCCCCCCACAAUCAGCAGCAGAUAAUAAUUUAAAUCACCUAUGGGGUAAAUUCCCUCUUACAAGGUUAGAUAAGAGACUUACCUUGCUCCGAAGUUCCAUAGCAGGCUCCAACGCCACUCUAAUACCUCGAACUGAUGCUUGUCGAUCCAAAACUAUGCAAACAAUAUGCAAAUCAAUCAAUAUGUGUUUUAAUACCCAUAUAUAACUAAUCAAUUUAAACAAUUUCCAACUCCGCUCGAAACAUUAGCAGUGGGGCCCACGCCUCAAAACCCAAUAAAACUCAUAAACUCCGACAAUCCAUCUAACUACGAGUUCAACCAUACUAAUUUCAUUCAAAUCCGACUCCGAAUCGGUAUUCAAAACUCGAAAAUUCGUUUUAUGAAAUUAUAGAAAUUUCCUUCGAUUUCUCUUGAAGAUUCAAUAAUCAUACACCAAAAAUGAAGAUUAAUUUAUGAAAUAUAAUUAUAAGGGAGUCAAGAACACUUACCCCAAGUUGUGUGGUGAAAUUCCUCUCAAAAGUCGCCCAAACCGAGCUCCAAAAUUCGAAAAAUGGGUGAAAAUAUCGAACCCUCGAACUUAAAGGAUUCUGCCCAGUCAUUUCCGCUUCUGCGGACACAAGAGCCGCUUCUACGACGUCGCUUCUACGACACGAGCUCUACUUAUGCGGAAUCCAGUAGCCAGUCGACCCCUCGCACCUGCGGAUCUCCAUCCAUUUCUGCACAACCGCAGGUGCGAAGCGAAAUGUGCUUCUGUGCUCCGUAUCGCUUCUGCGCCCAAGGCCCUUGCUUUUGCGGGGCCGCAGAUGCGCCCCAAUUUCCGCUUCUGCAAUCCUCCCCAUACAAGCCUACUUGCGCUUCUGCGAUCAACUGUCCGCAUUUGCGAUCUCGCCUCCGCGCCCAUUCUUCCGCAUAUGCGAAAAAACCAGAACCACAUACCUACAACAAUGCAACAUGAAACGAAAAAUUAUCUGAACCUCGUCCGAAACUCACCCCGGCCACCCGGGACUCAAAUCACACAUAACAACACCAAAAUUUUAAAUUGCACCUCGAAUCGAACUUAUAAAUUUUUCAAACUUCCAAAUUCUAUAUCUUGUGUCGAAACAUAUCAAAUCAAGUCCGAUUGACCUCAAAUUUUGCACGCAAGUCAUAAUUGACAUUACGGACCUACUCCCACUUCUGAAAUCGGAAUACGACCCCGAUGUCAAAAAGUUCACUCUCGGUCAAACUUUCCGAAAAUCAUCCAAUUUCUAACUUUCGCCAAUUGACGCCGAAACGACCUACGGAGUUCUAAAUUAACGUCCGGAUAUGCUCCUAAGACCAAAAUCACCAUACGGAACUAUUCCCAGGCUCGAAAUCCCAAACGGAUAUCGAUAACAUCAAAAUCUACUUCAACCCAAACUUAGAAAAUUAUUAAACCUUCAAAAUGCCAACCCUCCGUAAUAAGCGCCGAAAUACUCCCGGUCCACCCUAUACUCGACCUGAACAUACACCCAAGUACGAAAUCAUCAUACGAACCUAUUGGAACCUUCAAAUCCCGAUUCCGAGGUCGCUUGCUCAAAAGUCACACCUUAGUCAAUUCUUCCAACUUAAAGUUUUCAAAUUUAGAAUUUUCUUCCCAAAUCAACUCCGAACCUCCCGAAAUUCGAUUCUGACCACACAUACAAGUCAUAAUACCUGAAGUGAAAUUACUCAAGGCCUCAAACCGCCGAACGACGUGCUAGAGCUCAAAACGACCGGUCGGGUCGUUACAACCCUUCGCCGAAAAAUUACACUAUAGAUAUAAGGCAAAAUUUAUUUUGUACUUCUAUAUAUUAUAGUUUGAAUUUCCUUGACACAACCCAAAAGUAUAGCUCAAUAGUAAAGGGGGUACAAAAUUUUUGUAAGGUCAAUCGUUCAAUUUCCACUGGUCACCGUCUCUUUUAAUUUUUUAACCUUUUUUUGAAUUCCCUUAACGAAAAUCCUACCUCCAUGCACAUUAUAAAUCUAUCUAUUCUAACCCGAUGUUGUUUUCGUAGUGUCAUAUUCAAAAAUAGAGGACUAAAAUGCUUCUUUUGUUGCUAAAAUGUUAAAUAUUUUGAAAAAAAUUAAGUUUGUUAAAAUGAUUAAUAUUUGGGAAGGAGCAAGUAUCAUGUUUCUAUUGCAAGGAGAGUGAUAUUCCCACUAUUGUUUCUUUGGAUUUUUGUCAAUCACUGUUCAUUAUCCAAUAAAUUUCGUCUUCAAACUCCAUAAUGUAACCAUGUUCCUAUUGUUUUCGAAUUUCUUGAUUAUUCUCUUUCUUUGUGCACUAACACCACAACUUGCCCCUUUUUAUUUAAAUUAUAGUGUUUGGAUCAGUUUGAGUGUACCAAAAAAAAUGACAGAACUGAUUUUUAUAUCAGUUAAUGAAAGAACCCAAUAUAAAAAUAAUAAUACAUGUUGGGUCUCUUAGCGAGUACUUACUUUAUCUAAACCCUCUAUCAACAAAUGCGCAAAUUGCACUGAUCAUUGUGCGGACUACCCUCUAGCCCAGUCAAGUGUUGCAUAUGGUCGUUCGUCAAAUGCCACUGUUUCAUCAUUUGGACAGAUGCACGACUAAUUCACAGGUGUAUUUGCUAUCUCUCACUAGCACGUACAAAUAUCAGAUAACUUUCUCUCACUGUUAUCUCUCACUACUUAAAUAACACGACUUGCCCUAUAGCUGUUGUCCAUCGUUUCCUCUAUUAAGCUAUAAAAUCAAGGAUUAUGUCAAUGAAAAAAGUAAAUUCCUUAGGAAUAUGGUAUAAUAUAUCAUUCUGAGAAAUAGAUUUAGUAGCAUGCUACGGACAAAACAAAUUAUUUUUUUCACUGGCUUUUCUUCUAUCUUCAUCAAUAUAUUCACAAGCCAUUCUUUUUGUCGCUUGUGGUUUGGAUUCAUUUAAUUAAUAGAGCAUAGGACCACAGAAGAGACUAGAAACUUUCUAUUAGGUCCACCUUCCCCUACAAUGAAAUGCAUAGGGGUUAAGGAUUUGGUCUUUGGGGCUAUGCAUUGUGGGAGCAAUAAAGGCACACAUAUUCAAAGCUCUAAUUAUGUUUAAGUUGCGAAGUUAGAAAUAAUUCCAUUGGUCUUAACUUGAGACCUUAGGAUACAAUCAUUUUAGUUUAUCAUGGCCAGGGACACUAUUCCUGAGAUAAUAACUUUUAUAUGAAAUGCUGAUACGGAUCGAAAAAAUUGGUUUGAAUAACAUUUACUAUUCACUUAAAGAGGUAAAUAGGGCUCCAAUAGAUAUAUGUAAAAGGUAGGUCCGAUUACGCGUAUUUCUAAUGCUAAAUGGAAGCAACACAGUUACUAGACAACUCUACGUAAGUUCAGUUACCGAAUAACUCUAUCCACCACGGCUUAGCAAAGAAGGAAAGAUUACAAAUGAUAUAUAUAUCGCAGGGAAAUUAUUACAAAUGGUAUUGAAGAAAAAAAAUGAACAAGCCAAACUCUGACACGUCUCAACCUUUGACACCAUGAUCUUCUUUUCCAUUCCGUUUAUGUGCACAUAGCUUGACGGUCAGCUGAGAUGGCUUAGUUGUGGUUAUGUAUAUAUUCGCUAGGUGAGUAAUAAAAUUCUUAAUUACCAAAAAAUGCAACAUUCGAAUACGUCUUAACCUUUCGACGUUUAAUUAGAUACGGAUUUUUUUUUAAAUUAUAGAAAAAGACUUUAAUUUAUGUAUAUACAAGGUAACAAAUUCUUCUUAUUAUCAAAAUUGAAUAAUAGGUGGUUGUUCUCCAUAUCACUUCAUAUGCUUCACAAAAAGGUAAUAAACAAAAAAAGUUAGCUUUUACAUCUAGUGGAGUCUCGAAAAGUCAUGCAUAGUAUAAGAUCGCUAAGAAUAAUUAAAUACUUUUUGUUGGUGUUACAAGUAAUUACAGUUGAAAAAUAAAAUGAAGAAAAAUAAAUAAAUAUACUUCAGGCUGAGGUGCAGAUAUCUCGCUCUCUUUAAGGAGAUUCAAGCCCACUACGGUAGUAUCUUCACCGGUCCAACAGUAAUACUCUUAACUUGUCCCCUCCAGGAUACAAUAACCCGGCAACGUCGUAUGAGUCCAAAGUUCCACCAAAAUGAACACCUUCGUUCAACAAAAUAAUAUUCUUUUUUGUAGAUAAUAAGUUGGAGACUUAGAUUUUCUCCUUCUCUUGACUCUCUUUUUCACUACACCAAUUUUCACUUUUUUCAUACACUACAAUAUUUUUUCACACCAAACACAAAGAAGAAACACCACUAUUUAUAGGUGUAGAAUCUAUUCCAUAAAAUAAAUAAUAAAGUAGUGAAAUAAUAAAAUUGUAGAACAUAAUUAGUGGUUACAAAAUUUAAUCUUUAGUGAGUAAUUGGUGGUAAAUCAUGACAUUAGUAGUUUCACGAGUUACACUAAAGUAAUGACUAUUUUUUUGCCAAAUUAUAACCACUACCUCACAAAAAAUAAUGCACUUUAAUAUUAUAAUUUUAAUAUUUAAAUACACAAACACCAACACUUUUCAAAUAUAAAAUCGUGUCAUUUCAUGACAUUUUUUCGGAGAAACAGUGUUACAUAAAAUGGGGAAAGAGAGUAGAAAUAGUAAUUGUGAGACAUAGGUGUUAAGGGUUUUGCUCCAGGAAUAUUUUUCCAAUAACAAUAUGUUUUCCCGUCACCCGAAUUCAAGAAGAUGGCGUGGAUAUUAGCACACAAAAAAUUAAAAAUCAUCUUGAAUUCCUAUUUUAUGAUCUUAAAACGCCAAAAAAAAAAAUGAUCAUGGAGAAGCAAUGACUGUUAUUCAUUAGGUUGUUUCUCAUGGGCCCAUAAAAUUUUAAGUGUUUCGAAGUCCGUCGCCCGAAUUCAUGAAGAUGGCAUAGACAUUAGCAUACGAAAAAUUAAAAAUCAUCGUGACUUCCUGUUUUAUGGCCGUAAAAUACCAAAAAGGAGGAACAGUCAUGGAGAAACGAUUACUAUUGGUUCAUUAGGCCAUUUUUGAUGGACCCAAAAAAAAUUUAAGCGAUUCAAAGCCUAUCGCCCGAAUUCAUGAAGAUGACAUGGACAAUCACAUAGGAAAAAAAAAUUGAAAAUCAUCCUAAAUUCCUGUUUUAUGGCCCUAAAUGCCAAAAUUGAGGAAUAGACACGGCGAAGCAAUGUCUAUUAUUCAUUAGAUUGUUUCUGAUGGGCCCGAGCCGAUUCGGAAUCCGUCGUUCAAAUUCAUGAAGAUGGUGUAGACAUUAGCACAUGAAAAUCGAAAACCGUUCAUAAUUCCUAUUUUAUUACCCCUAAAAUACCAAAAACGAGGAACAAUAUAGAGAAGCAAUGACUAUUGUUCAUUAGGUCAUUUAUGAUGGGUCCAUAAAAUGUCAAAAAAUGAAAAACAAUCAUGGCGAAUCCAUGACUAUUAUUCAUUAGGCCGUUGAUAUGCCCAUAAAACUUUUAAAAAUUUGGAGCUCGACGCCCGAAUUCAUGAAGAUGGCGUGGACAUUAGCACACAUAAAAAAAAAUUAUCCUUAAUUCCUAUUUUAUGGCCAUAAAAUAUCCAAAAACGAGGAACGGUUACAACGAAACAAUAACUAUUAUCUAUUAGGUCGUUUCUGAUGGGCCCAUUAAAUUUUAGGUUAUUCGAAGCCUGUCGCCCGAAUUCAUGAAGAUGGCGUGGACAUUAGCACACAAAAAUUGACAAUCAUUCUGAAUUCUUGUUUUAUGACCCUAAAAUACGAAAAACGAGAAACAAUCAUGGCGAAAUGAUGAAUAUUGUUCUUUAGGUCGUUUUUGAUGGGCCCACAAAAUUUUAGGCGAUUCGAAAUGCCAAAAAAGAGAAACAAUCAUGGCGAAUCCAUGACUAUUAUUCAUUAUGUCGUUUAUGGGCCCAUAAAAUUUUUAGCGAUUUGGAGCCCGACGCCUGAAUUCAUAAAGAUGGCGUGGACAUUAGCACACGAAAAAAUAGAAAUCGUCCUUAAUUCCUAUUUUAUGGCCCUAAAAUAUCAAAAAAUGAGGAACGGUCACAACGAAACGAUAACUAUUAUCCAUUAGGUCGUUUCUGAUGGGCCCAUCAAAUUUUAGGUGAUUCGAAGCCUGUCGCCCGAAUUCAUGAAGAUGGCGUGGACAUUAGCAUACAAAAAUUGACAAUCAUUCUGAAUUCUUAUUUUAUGACCCUAAAAUGCGAAAAACGAGAAACAAUCAUGGCGUAACGAUGAAUAUUGUUCAUUAGGUCAUUUUUGAUGAGCCCACAAAAUUUUAGGCGAUUCAAAACCCGUCGCCCGAAUUCAUGAAGAUGGUGUGGCAAUUAGCACACAAAAACUGAAAAUCAUCCUGAGUUUAUUUCUUACGGCGGCAAUGACUAUAUUUCAUUAGGUCGUUUCUUAUGGGCCCAUAAAAUUUUAGGCGAUUCGGAGCUCGCCGCCCGAAUUUAUGAAGAUGGUGUGGACAUUAGCACCUGAAAAUUGGAAUCGUCUUGAAUUCUGGUUAUAUGUCCCUUAAACAACAAAACAAUGAGUAACGAUCAUGGCAAAGCGAUAACUAUAGUUCAUUAGGUCAUUUCUAAUGGGCCCACAAAUUUUAGGCUAUUCGGAGCCCAUCGCCCGAAUUCAUGAUGAUGACGCGGAUAUUAGCACACGAAAAAAUAGAAAUCGUCCUCAAUUCCUAUUUUAUAGCCCUAAAACGCAAAAAAUAAAAAAUAGUCAUUGCAAAGUAAUGCCUAUUAUUCAUUAAGUCAUUUUUGAUGGGCCCACAAAAUUUUAGGUGAUCUGGAGCCCGUCGACCGAAUUUCAAGAAGAUGGUGUGGACAUUAGCACACAAAAAUUGGAAAUCAUCAUGAUUUCCUAUUUUAUAGCCCUAAAACACCCAAAAUAUAAGGAAAAAUUACAGCAAAGCGAUAACUAUUGUUCAUUAGGUCAUUUUUGAUAGAAUUGCAAAUUUUUAAGCGACUCGGAGCCCGUCACCCGAAUUUAUGAAGAAGAUGUGAACAUUAGUAUACGAAAAAUUAGAAAUUAUCCUGAAUUCGUUUUUAUGGCCCUAAAACGGCAAAAAACGAGGAAUAGACUUGGCAAAGUAAUGCCAAUUGUUCAUUUGGUCAUUUCUGAUGGGUUCACAAUAUUUUAGGCGAUGCGGAGCCCGUCACCUGAAGCCACGAAGAUGGCGUGAAUAUUAACACAUGAAAAAUUAGAAACCAUCUCGAAUUCUUAUUUUAUGGCCCUAAAAUGCCAAAAAAUAAGGUAAUGUCAAAAAACGACAUAAGGAACAUUAGUUAUCGCCUUGCCAUGACCGUUCCUCAUUUUUUGGAAUUUUAGGGCCAUAAAUUAUAAUUUCGUCCGAUUUCCAAAUUUUCGUGUACCCACGCCAACCGCAUGGGACCAGGCGCACGAACCCGGAUCCUCUAAAUUUUUUCCAACCCAUCAAAAAAGACCAAAGGAAUCUUAGUCAUCGCUUCGCCAUGGCCGUUCCUCGUUGUUUUGUUUUAGGGCCGUAAAACUGAAAUUUUGCCAGAUUCAUAGAUUUUCAUAUGCUAUCGCCCACGCCAUCUACAUGGGUCCGGGCGCCCUGACCUGAAUCGCCAAAAAUUGUCGGCCCAUCAAAAUCGACCUAAGGAACAUUAGCGAUCGCCUGCCAUGGCCGUUCCUUAUUUUUUGGCAUUUUACGACCAUAAAAUAUGAAUUUCUCCCGAUUACCCAGAUUUUCGUGUGCUAUAACCCACGUCAUCCGCAUGAGUCCGGGCACCCAGACCCAGAUCGCCUAAAAUUUUGUCGGCCCAAAAAAAACUCUCUAAUAUUAGUCAUUGCCUUGCCAUGAACGUUCCUCUUUUUUGGCAUUUUAGGGACAUAAAACUUAAAAUCCGCACGAUUCCUAGCUUGUCAUGUGUUAUAGCCCAUGUCAUCCGCAUGGGUCUGGUGUGUAGCAACCCGGCCGGUCAUUUCGAUAGUUGUAGUCCUGUUCUCCUAUUUUCUACUCCUUUUGUGCUCUACAACUGUUAUAUGACUUACUAGGUUAGUUGGUUUGGGCCCGAAGUGAUUUCAGAGUGAAUUGAGACACUUAGUCUCAUAAUUGAAAGCUUAAGUUGGAAAAGUUGACCGGAUAUUGGCUUAUAUGUAAACGACCUCGGAUUUGAAUUUUGAUGGUUUCGUUAGAUCCGUUAGGUGAUUUUGGACUUAGGAGCGUGUCCGGAUUGUAAUUUGAAGGUCUGUAGUAGAAUUAGGUUUGAAAUGGUGAAAGUUGGAAUUUUGGAACGUUUGACCGGAAGUGGACUUUUUGAUAUCGGGAUCAGAUUGGAUUUUCGGAAGUGGGAGUAGGUUCGUGGUGUCAUUUUUGACUUGUGUGCAAAAUUUGAGGACAAUCGGACGUGAUUUGAUAGGUUUCGACGUUGUUUGUAGAAUUUGAAAAUUUCAUAGUUCAUUAGGCCUGAGUUGGGGUGCGAUUCGAUUUUUUGAUAUUGUUUGAGGUGGUUAGAGGGUUCAACUAAGUUCGUAUGAUGUUUUAAUACUUGUUGGUAUGUUUGGUUGAGGUCCCGGGGCCUCGGGUUGAUUUCGGGUGGUUAACGGACUUGGAAUUUGAUUUGAGAAGUUUUGGAAGUCUGUGUGCUGCUGGUGUAAUCGCACCUGCGGAGUGGGAACCGCAGAUGCGAGCCCGCAAUUACGGGUGAAGGUCCAUAGAUGCAGAUAUGGGGGAGAGAAGUCAGUGGGACACAGGCAUGAAGGUUUUCCCACACCAGCGAGACCGCAGAUGCGGGGUGAAGGCCGCAAAAGCAAAGGAAGGAAGGGGAGCUGGGUUCCACAGAAGCGGAGGAUACCAUGCAGGGGCGUGUAUGCAGGAGCAGAUGUGGGAGCCGCAGAUGCGUAGGUCACCGCAGAAGUGGGUAUUUUGUCGCUCCUACGAGGCCGCAGAAGCGGCUUAGUUGCCGCAUGUACGGAAAGCCUGGGCAGAAACUAUAUAAGCGAGGGUUCCGAGAUUUUCACCAUUUCUAACAUUUUGAGCUCGGACUUUAGAGGUUUUUGAGAGGGUUUUUGAAGGGGAUUCUUGAGGUAAGUUCCUUGUGUUCAUAUUUCUUCAAUAAUUAUGUUUCCUCCCUGAUUUUCCACCUAGUUAGUGUAUUUUUAAGGUGUAAUUUGGGGGUUUGAGGCUAGGGAUUUGGAAAGUUAAUUUUUGGAAUUUGAAUGAUCAAUUGGUAUCGGAUUUUGAUAAAUUUGGUAUGACUAGACUCGUGAGUGGAUGGGCUUUCGGAUUUUGUGAGUUUUGUUGGAUUCCGAGAUGUGGGCCUGGGGGGCGGUUUGGAACCAAUUUCGGAUUUUGAGUUAUAACUUAGUAAUUUCUUGUAGAAUUGAUUCCUUUAGCCCGUAUUGAUUGUAUUGUACUGUUUGUGGCUAGAUUUGAGUCAUUUGGAGGCUGAUUUGCUAGGCAAAGGCAUAUUGGAGUAGGGAUUUUCUCGGAUUGAGGUAAGUAACACUUCUAAACUUGGUUCUGAGGGUUCGAAACCCUGAAUGUAUGUGUUAUGUGAUGGGUAUUGAGGUGACGCAGAUGCCAAGUGACGGGCGUGCACCGUGAGAAUUGUGACCUGGUCGAUUCCAUGGCACUGUAUAGUGGUUCUAUCUUGUUGACAUCCGUGUCUUCACCAUGUGAUAAAGUAAUUGAGUUGUCACCCAUGCUAGAUAUCAUGUUUAGGCUUUAUGCCAGUACUGUUGGGGCCCAUAGUGGUCGUUUCUUGCUAUUGUCUUAAUGAUUUCAUUGAUAUUUCCUACUCAGUCAUUUUCAUUCAUUUCAUAUCAUAUCUCAGUCUUUGUUGUUAUUUAUUGAUACAUCAUAUCAUGAUUUUCGGGCUAGUAUCAUGACACUGUGAGCCCGUGAGAGAGAGACUGGAGAGAUUGAUGAUUGAGUGAGGCCGAGAGCCUGAUUAUAAGUGACAUUUAUGGGAUCGUGCAGCACGUCGUAACGAUUGUACUGAUUUAUAAUAGCGCUUGGGCUGAAGGAGCCCCUCUGGAGUCUGCACACACCCCCAGUGAACGCAGUUGAUUAUAUUGAGGGAUGGAUCUUCCCUGGAUAUGGAUCUUGUCCGAAGCAUUAUAUACCUGGAGAUGGAUCUUCUCCACGGGCUGGAUUGGCCCUACUCAGUACUGGGUGACUGAUGGUCAGUGAUGUAUAUAUUCCGAGAUGGAUCUUUCCUGGGCCGUAUGGGCCAUAUACAGUACUGAGUGAUUGAGCAUUUGAGAGUGUGAGCACAUGCGACUGUCAGCAUGGUGUGUCACAUACAACAUGUGCAUUGACAUGUAGAAGUAGAGGAGUUAUAUUAUUCAUACCAUUCAGAGUUGAUCCAUUUUACUAUUUUGAGAUAUCUAUCGAACUUGAAAGUAUGUCUACAUUUCUGCAUUGUUAUUUUCUAUAUUGAACUGUGCCGGUUAAGUUCGUCACUACUUUCAGUCCAAAGUUUGGAUUUGUUACUUAUUGAGUUGGUUAUACUCACGCUACACCCUGCACCUCGUGUGCAGAUUUAGGUGCUUCCGGUUACGGCGGCUGCUGAGUGAGGAGUCGAGAUCUCAGAGACUAUCGAGGUAGUUGCAUGGCGUUCGCAGGCCUUGACUCUCCUUCAUUAUCUUUAUUUGUAUUUCAGUUCUUAUUCCUCAGGCAUUGUAGUAGGCUGUAUCCUGGUAUAGAUGCUCAUGUACUCGGUGACACCCCAGUUUUUGGGAGAAAUUGUAUUGGGUUGCGUAUCUAUUUUCUGUUAUCAAAAAGGUUUUCCUUAAAUAUUAACUGCUUCCGUAUUUUUUUCAAGCUUUUUGUUAUGUUGAAAUAGUUGAGUAAUUGGCCUGCCUAGUUCCACGAUAGGUGUCAUCACGACGGUUGUUUUGGGUCGUGACAUGGUGGCCCGGACCCGGAUCGCAUAAAAUUUGGCCAGCCCAUCAAAAACAAACUAAGGAAUAUUAGUCACCACCUAGCCCCAACCGUUCCUCAUUUUUUGGCAUAUCAGGGACAUAAAACUAGAAUUCUGCCCGAUUUCCAGAUUUUCGUGUGUUAUAGCCCACGGCUUCUACAUGGACCCGGGCGACCAGACCCGAAUCGAUUAAAAUUUUGUCGGACCAUCAAAAACGACAUAAGGAACAACAACUACCACUUCGCCAUAACCGUCCCUCGCUUUUUGGCAUUUUAGGGCCAUAAAAUUAGAAUUUUGCCCGAUUUCUAUAUUUUUGUGUGCUAUCCCACGCCUUCUGUAUGGGCCCGGGCGACCAGACCCGGAUCACCUAAAAUUUUGUCGGACCAUAAGAAAUGACCUAAGGAACAAUAGUCACCGCCUCUCCAUGACAGUUCCUCGUUUUUUGGUGUUUUAGGGCCAUAAAACUAGAAUUUCGCAUGUUUUCCAGAUUUUCUUAUGCUAUAGCCCAUGCCUUUUGCAUGGGCCAAGGCGCCCAGAUCCGGAUUGCCAAAAAUUUGGCCAGACCAUAAAAACUACAUAAUGAACAAUAGUCACCGACUCUCCCUGAACAUUUCUCGGUUUGUGCAUUUUAGGGCCCUAAAACUAGAAUUUCGCCCGAUUUUCAUAUUUUCGUGAUCUAUAGCCCACGCCAUCCGCAUAUGUCCGGGCGCCAGGAACUGGAUCUCCUAAAAUUUACUGGACCAUGAAAAAUGACCUAAGGAACAUUAGUCAUCGUCUCGCCAUAACCGUUACUCAUUUUUUGGCAUUUUCGGAAUAUAAAACUGGAAUUUCACAUGAUUCCCAAAUUAUCAUGUGUUAUAGCCUACGCCAUCUACAUAACGAUAGGCAUUGCAUAGCCAUGACCGUUUAUCGUUUUUCGACGUUUUAGGGUCAUAAAACUGAAAUUCUGCCAUAUUUCUAGAUUUUCGUGUGUUAUCGCCCACGCGAUCCGUAUAGGUCCGGGCACCCGAACCCGGAUCGCCUAUAAAACUUUUGACCCAUCAAAAAUGACCCAAGAAACAUUAGUAAUCUCCUCUCCAUAACCGUUCCUCAUUUUUUGGCGUUUUAGGGCCACAAAAGUGGAAUUCUACCAGAUUCUCAUAUUUUCAUGUGCUAUAGCCCAAGCCAUCCGGAUGGAUUCGGGCACCUAGACUAGGAUCGCCUAAAUUUUGUCGGCCCAUAAAAAAAGACCUAAGGAUCAUUAGUCAUCGCCUCUCCAUAACCAUUCCAUUUUAUUUGGUGUUUUAGGGCCAUAAAUGUGGAAUUCCGCCUGAUUCCUAAAUUUUCGUGUGCUAUAGCCCACGCCAUCUGCAUGGGUCCGAGCGCCCGGAUCUGGAUUACCUAAAAAUUUUCCGGCCUAUCAAAAACGGCCUAAGCAAUAUUAGUCAUCGCCUCGCCAUGACCGUUCCUCAUUGUUUUUGACAUUUUAGGACCGUAAAACUGGAAUUCCGCCACAUUCUCAGAUUUUAGUGUGCUAUAGCACACGCCAACUGCAUAGGUCCGGGCGCCAGAACCUGGACCACCUAAAAUUUUGCCGGCCUAUCAAAACGACCUAAGGAACAUUAGUCAUCGCCUCUCCAUGAUUGUUCCUCAUUUUUGGUAUUUUAGCGUCAUAAAACUGGAAUUCUACGUGAUUCCCCGAUUGUCGUAUUCUAUAGCCCACGCCAUCCACAUGGGUCCGCGCCCGGACCUGAAUCGCCUAAAAUUUUGCUGGUCCAUCAAAAAUAACAUAAGGAACAUUAGUCAUCACCUCGCCAUGACCUUUCUUCAUUUUUUUGCGUUUUAGGGUCCAAAUAUUGGAAUUCCGCCCGAUUUCUAGAUAUUCAUGUGCUAUAGCCCAUGCCAUCCGUAUGGGUCCGGGCGGCAGGACCCAAAUCGCCUAAAAUUUUGCCGGCCCACGAAAAAUGACCUAAGGAACAUUAGUCAUCGCCUCGCCAUGACUGUUCCUCAUUUUUUGGCGUUUUCGGAACAUAAAACUAGAAUUUCGCCUGAUUCCCAAAUUAUUGUGUGCUAUAGCCUACGCCAUCUGCAUGGAUCCGGGCGCACGGACCCAGAUAGCCUAAGUAAUAUUAGGCAUCGCAUAGCCAUAGUCGUUCCUCGCUUUUCGGCAUUUUAGGGCCAUAAAACUGAAAUUCUCCCCUAUUCCUAGAUUUUCGUGUGCUAUCGCCCACACCAUCCGUAUGGGCCCGGGAGCCCGGAUACGAAUCGCCUAUAAAAUUUUAGGCCCAUCAAAAAUGACAUGAGAAACAUUAGUAAUCGUCACGCCAUGAUCGUUCCUCAUUUUUUGGCAUUUUAGGGCCAUAAAACUAGAAUUCUGCCCGAUUCUGCCCACGCCAUCCGGAUGGGUCCGGUCACCCGGACCCGGAUCGCGGAUCACCUAAAAUUUUGCCAUUCCAUAAACAAAAACCUAAGGAACAUUAGUCAUCGCCUCGCCAUAACCAUUUCUUAUUAUUUGGAAUUUUGGGCCAUAAAACUAGAAUUUUACCCGAUUCCCAAAUUUUCGUGUGCUAUUGCCCACGCCAUCUGCAUGGGUCCAGGCUCUCGGACCUGGAUUGCCUAAAAUAUUUCCGGCCUAUCAAAAAUAACCUAAGCAAUAUUAGUAAUCAUCUCGCCAUGAUCGUUCCUUAUUUGUUUUCCUUAUUUUUGGCCUUUUUUUGUCAUAAAACUGGAAUUCCGCCAGAUUCUCAUAUUUUUGUAUGUAAGCACACGCCAUCCACAUGGGUCCGGGCGCCAUAACCUGGACCGCCUAAAAUUUUGACGGCCAAUCAAAAUGAUCUAAAGAACAUUAGUCAUCGCCUCGCCAUGACUGUUCCUCAUUUUUGGCAUUUUAGUGCCAUAAAACUGGAAUCCCGCCUUGCCGUGACCGUUCUUCGUUUUUUGGCAUUUUAGGAACAUAAAACUGGAAAUUCGCCCGAUUUCCAAAUUAUCAUACGCUAUAGCCUACGCCAUCCGUAUGGGUCUGGGCACCCGGACACAGAUUGCCUAAAAUUUGUCGACCCAUAAAAUACGACCUAAGGAACAUUAGUCAACGCAUCGCUAUCACCGUUCCUCAUUUUUCGGCGUUUUAGGGCCAUAAAACUGAAAUUUCGCAAUAUUCCUAGAUUUUGGUAUGCUAUCGUCCAUGCCAUCCUUAUGGGCCCAUGAAAAAUGACCUAAGGAACAUUAAUUAUCACCUGGGCGCCCGGACACAGACCGCCUAAAAUUUGUCGGCACAUCGCCAUGAUCGUUCCUCAUUUUUUGGCAUUUUAGUGUCAUAAAACUGAAAUUUAAACCUAUUCCCAUAAUUUUGUGUGUUAUCGCCCGCUCCAUCUGUAUGGGUCCGAGCGUCCGGAUCCGAAUCGCCUAAAAUUUUGCCGGCCCAUCAAAAAUAACCUAAGGAACAUUAGCGAUCGCCUUUCCAUGAUCUUUUCUUAUAUUUUGGAAUUUUAGGGCCAUAAAUUUGGAAUUCCAUCCGAUUUCCAUAUUAUUUCAUGUGCUAUCGUCCACGCUAUCUGCAUGGGUUCGGGUGCCCAGACCCGGAUCGCCUAAAUUUUGCUGCCCAUUAGGAACGACCUUAGGAACAUUAGUCAGCACCUCAAGAUGGUCGUUACUCGCUUUUUGGCAUUUUAGGGUCGUAAAACUAGAAUUCUACCCGAUUCCUAGAUUUUCGUGUGCUAUAGCUCACGCCAUCCGUAUGGGUCUAGGCGCCCGGACCCGGAUAGUCUAAAAUUUUGCCAGCCCAUAAAAAAUGACUUAAGUAAUAUUUGCCAUCACCUCGCCAUGACCGUUCCUCGAUUUUUGGCAUUUAAGGGCCAUAAAAAUUGAAUUCCGCCCGAUUUCGAGAUUUUCGUGUGUUAGCCCACGCCUAAUGCAUGGACCCGGACGGUCGGACCCGGAUCGCCUAAAAUUUUUUCAAAACAUAAAAAGUGACGUAAGGAACAAUAUUCACCAUUUAUCCAUGACCGUUCCUCGAUUUUUUGCAUUUUAGGCCCAUAAAACUGAAAUUCCGCCCGAUUCUCAGAUUUUUGUGUGCUAUAGCCCACGCCUUCUGUUUGGGCCCGGUCGACCGGACCCGGAUCACCUAGAAUUUUUUUGGACCAUAAAAAAUGACCUAAGAAACAAUAGUCACCGCCUCGCCAUGACCGUUCCUCAUUUUUUGGCGUUUUGUGGCCACAAAACUAGAAUUUCGCCCGAUUCCUAAAUUUUCGUGUCUAUAAUCCACUCCAUCCGCAUUUAUCCGGGCGCCAGGACCCGAAUCACUUAAAAUUUUGCCGGCCCAUAAAAAAUAACUUAAGGAGCAAUAGACUCCGCCUUGCCAUGACCGUUCCUCAUUUUUGGCAUUUUAGGGCCGUAAAACUAGAAUUCCGCCUGUUUCCAAGAUUUUUAUGUGUUAUAGCCCAUGCCUUCUGCAUGGGCCCGGGCGGCCGAACCCGGAUCGCCUAAAAUUUUGUCGGCCUAUAAAAUAACAAACUAAUGAAUAUUAAUCAUCGCCUCACCAUGACCGUUCCUCUUUUUUUAGAGUUUCAGCACCAUUAAAUUGGAAUUUUGACCGAUUUCCAAAUUUUCAUGUGCUAUAGCCCAUGCCAUCCGCAUGGGUCUGGGCGCUCGGACCCGGAUCGCCUAAAAAUUUCCGGCCCAUAAAAAAUGACCUAAGGAACAUUAGUCAUCGCAUCGCCAUGAUCGUUCCUCAUUUUUCUGGCAUUUUAGGGUAUUAAAACUAAAAUUCCGAUCUAUUCCCAUAUUUUCGUGUGUUAUCGCCCAAGCCAUCCGUAUGAGUCCAAGCGCCCGGACCCUAAUCGCCUAAAAUUUUGUCGGCCCAUAAAAAUGACCUUAGGAACAGUAGCGAUCGCCUUGCCAUGACCGUUCCUUAUUAUUUUUGGCAUUUUAGGGCCAUAAAUAUAGAAUUCCAUCCGAUUCACAGAUUUUCAUAUGCUAUCGCCCACGCCAUGUGCAUGGGUCCGGGUGCCCAGAAUCGGAAUGCCUAAAUUUUGUAUGCCCAUCAAGAACGACCUUAGGAACAUUAGCCAUCACCUCGAGAUGGUUGUUACUCAUUUUUUGGCGUUUUAGGGCCGUAAAACUAGAAUUUAACCCGAUUCCCUAAUUUUAGCAUGCGCCCACGCCAUCAGCAUGUAUCUGAGCGCCCGAACCCGGAUCGCUUAAAAUUUUGUCGGCCCAUCAAAAACGACCUAAGGAAUAUUAGUCAUCAACUCGUCAUGACCGUUCCUUUUUUCUUUGGCACUUUUGGGCCAUAAAAUUAUAAUUCUGCCCGAUUCCUAGAUUUUCUUGUGCUAUAGCCCACGCCAUCCGUAGGGUCUGGACGGCCGGACCCGGAUAGCCUAAAAAUUUGUCGGCCCAUCAAAAAUGGCCUAAGACAUAUUAGUCAUCACCUCACCAUGACCGUUCCUCAGGUUUUAGCAUUUAAGGGCCAUAAAACUAGAAUUCCGCCCGAUUUUCAAACUUUCGUGUGUUAGCCCACGCCUUCUGCAUGAACCGGAUUGCCUAAAAUGUUUGCCGAACUAUGAAAAAUGACAUAAGGAACAAUAAAAUUCAUUCGCAUGUAUCCGGGGGCCCGGAUCCAGAUUACUUAAAAACUUUUUAGCCCAUCAAAAAUGACCUAAGGAACAAUAGUCUCCGCCUCACCAUGACUGUUCCCCAUUUUUUGGCGUUUUAGGGACAUAAAACUAGAAUUUUGUGUGUUUUCCAAAUUUUCAAGUGCUAUAGCCCAGGCAUUUUGCAUGGGCCCGGGCGGCCAGACUCGGAUCGCCUAAAAUUUUUACGGCCUAUCAAAAACAACCUAAGGAGCAUUAGUCAUCGCCUCACCAUGAUUGUUCCUCUUUUUUGGUGUUUUAUGGCCAUAAAACUGGAAUUUUGCCUGAUUCCUAGAUUUUCGUUUGGUACUACCCACGUCAUCCGCAUGGGUUUGGGCGCCCGACUCGGAUCGCCUAAAAUUUUGUCUACCCAUCGAAAAUGAUAUAAGAAACCUUAUUCAUCUCCUCUCCAUUACCGUUCCUCUUUUUUGGCAUUUUAGGGUCUUAAAACUUGAAUUCUACCUGAUUCUCAUUUUUUUCAUGAGCAUAGCCCACGCCAUCCAAAAGGGUUCGAGCACCCGGGCCCAUAGCCUAAAAUUUUUUCGGCCUAUCAAAAAUAACCUAAGGAAUAUUAGACAUCACCUCGUCGUGACCGUUCCUCAUUUUUUGGCGAUUUUGGGACAUAAAACUGAAAUUUCGCAUGAUUCUCAGAUUUUCGUGUGCUAUAGCCAAAACCAUCCACAUGGGUGAGGGCGCGUGGACCUCAAUAGCCUAAAAAAAUUUGGCCCAUCAAAAAUGACCUGAGGAACAUUAGUAAUCAUCUCGCCAUGACCGUUCCUCAUUGUUUUGCAUUUUAGGGCCCUUAAACUAGAAUUCUGCUUGAUUCUCAUAUUUUUAUGUGCUAUAGUCCAUGCCAUCCGGAUGGGUACGGGCACCCGGAUCGCCUAAAUUUUUUUCUGCCCAUAAAAAAGACCUAAGGAACAUUAUUCAUCGUCUCUCCAUAAUCAUUCCUUAUUUUUUGGUGUUUUAGGGCCAUAAAGCUGGAAUUUCGUCUGAUUCCCAAAUUUUCGCGUGUUACAGCCCACACCAUUCGCAUGGGUCCGGGCGCCUAGACCCGGAUCGCCCAAAAUUUUGCCAUCCUAUCAAAAAUGACCUAAGCAAUAUUAGUCAUCGCCUCGCCAUGACCGUUACUCAUUUUUGGCAUUUUAGUGCCAUAAAAUUAGAAUUUUACCUGAUUCCGUGAUUUUCGUGUCCAAUUGCCCAUGCCAUCUGCAUGGGUCCGGGCAUCCGGACUCGAAUCGCCUAAAAUUUUAUCGACCCAUCAAAAACAACAUAAGGAACAUUAGUCAUCACCUCGCCAUGACAUUUCCUCAUUUUUUGGCGUUUAAGGACCAUAAACUGAAAUUCCGCCCGAUUCCCAAAUAUUCGUGUGCGCCCACGCCAUCUGCAUGGGUCUGGUCGCCUGAACCUGGAUCGCUUAAAAUUUGACGGCCUAACAAAAAUGACCUAAGGAACAUUAGUCAUUGCCUCGCCAUUAUCGUUCCUCUUUUUUUGGCGUUUUAGCCCCAUAAAACUGGAAUUUUGCCCGAUUCCCAAAUUUUCAUAUGUUAUAGCCUACACCAUCCGCAUGGGUCUGAGCGUCUGGACCCGGAUCGCCUAAAAUUUGCCAGCCCAUCAAAAAGGACCUAAGGAACAUUAGUCAUCACAUCGCCAUGACCGUUCCUCAUUGUUUUGGUAUUUUAGGGUCAUAAAACUUAAAUUCCGACCUAUUCCCAUAUUUUUGUAUGUUAUCGCCCACGCCAUCCGUAUGGGUCCGAGCGGCCGGACCCGAAUAGCUUAAAAAAAUUUCAGCCCAUCAAAAAUGACCUAAGGAACAUUAGCGAUUGUCUUACUUUAACCGUUCCUUAUUUUUUGGCAUUUUAGGGCCAUAAAUUUGGAAUUCCGUCUCAUUCCCAGAUUUUUGUGUGUUAUCGCCCACACUAUUUGCAUGGGCACGGGCACCCAGACCUGAAUCGCUUAAAUUUUGCCUGCCCAUCCAGAACUACCUAAGGAAUAUUAGUCAUUACCUCACCAUGGUCGUUACUUAUUUUUUGGCAUUUUAGGGCCGUAAAAUAAGAAUUCCACCCGACUCCUAGAUUUUCGUAUGUUAUAACCCACGCCAUCAGCAUGUAUCUCGGCCCCUGGACCCGGAUCGCUUAAAAUUUUGACGGCCCAUUAAAAUUGACCUAAGGAACAUUAGUCAUCACCUCGCCAUCCAUAAAACUAGAAUUUUGUCUGAUUUCUAGAUUUUCGUGUGUUAUAGCUCACGCCUUCUGCAUGGACCUGGGCGGCUGGAUCCGGAUUGCCUAAAAUUUUGCCAGAACAUCAAAAAUUACAUAAAGAACAAUAGUCACCACUUCGCUAUGACCGUUCCUCAUUUUUGGCAUUUUAGGGCCAUAAAACUAGAAUUCUGCCUGAUUCCUAGAUUUUCGUGUACUAUAGACCACGCCUUUUGCUUUGGCUCGGGCAAUCGAUCUCGGAUCACCUAAAAUAUUUUCAGACCAUAAAAAAUGACCUAAGGAACAACAAUCACCGCCUCGCUAUGACCGUUCCUCAUUUUUGGCGUUUUAGGACUAUAAAAUUGGACUUUCGCCCGUUUUCCAGAUUUUUGUGUGCAUAGUCCACGUCUUCUGCAUGGGCCUGGGCAGCCGGACCCGGAUUGCCUAAAAAUUUGCCGACUAUCAAAAAUGACCUAAUAAACAAUAGUAAUCGCCUCUCUAUGACCGUUCCUCUUUUUUGGCUUUUUAGGGCCAUAAAACUGAAAUUUCGCCCGAUUCCUAAAUUUUCAUGUGCUAUAGCCCAUGCUAUCCGCAUUUAUCUGGGCGCUAGGAACCGGAUCACUUAAAAUUUUGCUGGCCCAUAAAAUAACCUAAGGAGAAAUAGACUCUGCCUCGCCAUGACCGUUCCUCAUUUUUGGCGUUUUAGGGCCAUAAAAUUAGAAUUUUGCUCGUUUCUCUGAUUUUCGUAUGCUAUCCCGCGCCUUUUGCAUGGGCCCAGACAGUCGGACCCAAAUCGCCUAAAAUUUUGCCGGCCUAUCAAAAAUAAACCUAAGGAACAUUAGUCAUCACCUCAUCAUGACCCGCUUCUAUAUUUUCGUACAUAAUAGCACUUGUCAUCGGCAUGGGUUCGCGCGCCCGGACCUGGAUUGCCUAAAUUUUGAUGGCCCAUCGAAAACGACCUAAGGAACAUUAGCCAUCACCUCUCCGUGACCUUUCCUCAUUUUUUGGCAUUUUAGGGUCGUAAAAUUUAAAUUCUGCCUGAUUCCCAGAUUUGCGCGUGCUAUAGCCCACACCAUUCGCAUGGGUUCUGGCACCCGAACACGAAUCGCCUUUAGUUUUUGUCGGCCUAUCAAAAAUGACCUAAGGAACAUUAUCCAUCGCUUCGCCAUGACCAUUCCACAAUUUUUGGCUUUUUACGGCCGUAAAACUGGAAUUCCACCUGAUUCUCAGAUUUUCGUGUGCUAUAGUUCAUGCCAUUUGCAUAGGUCUUGGCGCCCGAUCUCGAAUAGCCUAAAAUUUUGUCGGUCCAUCAAAAAUUACCUAAGGAACAUUAGUCAUCGCCUUGCCAUGACCGUUCCUCUUUUUUUAGAGUUUCAGCACCAUUAAAUUGGAAUUUUGACCGAUUUCCAAAUUUUCAUGUGCUAUAGCCCAUGCCAUCCGCAUGGGACUGGGGGUCGGCCCCGGAUUGUCUAAAAUUUUUCCGGCCCAUAAAAAAUGACCUAAGGAACAUUAGUCAUCGCCUCGCCAUGACCGUUCCUCAUUUUUCUGGCGUUUUAGGGCCAUAAAACUGAAAUUUCACCCCAUUUCUAGAUAUUCGCGUGUCCUACGCCAUUCGCAUGGGUCCAGGAGCCUUGACCCAGAUCGCCUAAAAUUUUUCCUGCCCAUCANNNNNNNNNNNNNNNNNNNNNNNNNNNNNNNNNNNNNNNNNNNNNNNNNNNNNNNNNNNNNNNNNNNNNNNNNNGCCAACCCAUCAACAAAAAUGACUUAAGGAACAUUAGUCAUCGCCUCGCCAUGACCAUUCCUCAUUUUUUGGCGUUUUAGGGCCAUAAAACUGCAAUUCUACCCUAUUUACAGAUUUCAUAUGCCCCACGUCAUUCGCAUGGGUCCGGGCGCCUGGACUCGGUUCGCCUAAAACUUUGCCUGCCCAUGCCAAAUGACCUAAGAAACAGUACUCACCAUCUCGCCAUGAUCGUUUCUCCUUUUUGGCAUUUUAGGGCUGUAAACUAGAAUUCUGCCCGAUUUCCAGCUUUUCAGGUGCUAUAGCCCACGUCAUCGGCACAGUUCGGCGCGCCCAGACCUUGAUUGCUUAAAAAUUUUCCAUCCCAUCAAAAACUCCCUAAGGAACAUUAAUCAUCACCUCGCCAUGACUGUUCCUCAUUUUUUGGCAUUAAGGGCAGUAAAACUUGAAUUCCACCUGAUUCCUAGAUUUUCGCGUGCUAUAGCCCACACCAUCCACAUGGGUUCAAGUGCCCGGACCCGGAUCGCCUUUAAUUUUGUCGGCCUAUCUAAAAUGACCUAAGUAACAUUAUUCAUCGCAUCGCCAUGACAAUUCCAUAUUUUUUGGCUUUUUAGGGCCGUAAAACUGGAAUUUUGCCUGAUUCUCAAAUAUUUGUAUGUAAUAGCCCACGCCAUCCGUGUGGGUCUGGGCGCCCGAUCUCGGAUAGCCUAAAAUUUUGUCGGCCAAUCCGAAAUGACCUAAGGAACAUUAGUCAUCACCUUGCCAUGACCGUUCUUUAUUUUUGGUGUUUUAGGGCCAUAAAACUAGAAUUUCACCUGAUUCUCAGAUUUUCGUGUGCUAUAGUUAGCCCAUGCCAACCGCAUGGCUCCGAGCACGCGGACACGGAUCAUCUAAAAUUUAUUCGGCCCAUAAAAAAUGACCUAAGGAACAUUAGUCAUCACCUCGCCAUGACCUAGGACAUAUUAGUCAUCACCUCUCCAUGACCGUUCCUCGAUUUUUGGCAUUUAAAGGCGAUAAAACUAGAAUUUUGCCAGAUUUCUAGAUUUUCGUGUGUUAUAGCCCGCGCCAUCUGCAUGGACCGGGGCGGCCAGACCCGGAUCAUCUAAAAUUUUGCCGGACCAUCAAAAAUGACACAAGGAACAAUAGUCACCACUUCGCCACCAUUCCUCAUUUUUUGGCAUUUUAGGGCCAUAACUGAAAUUUCGCUUAUUUCCCACAUUUUCUUGUGCUAUAGCCCAUGCCUUCUGCAUGGCCAAGGCAGACGGACUUGGAUCGCCUAAAAUUUGGACGGACCAUAAAAAAUGACCUAAUGAACAAUAGUCACCACCUCCAUGACCGUUCUUCGUUUUUGGCAUUUUAGUGCCAUAAAACUAGAAUUUCGCCUAAUCCCCAAACUUUUGUGUUCUAUAGCCCACGCCAUCCGCAUGUAUCAGGGCGCCCGGACCCAGAUCGCUUAAAAUUUGUCCAACCCAUAAAAAAUGACCUAAGAAAAAAUAGUCUCCGCCUCGCCAUGACCGUUUCUCAUUUUUUGGCGUUUGGGACCAUAAAACUGGACGUUCGCCUAUUUUCCAGAUUUUCGUGUGCUAUAGCCCACAACUUCUGCAUGGUCCCGGGCGGCCAGACCCGGGUCGCCUAAAAUUUUGCCGACUAUCAAAAAUAACCUAAGGAACAUUAGUUACCGCCUCACCAUGAUCGUUCCUUAUUUAUUGGCGUUUUAGGGCCAUAAUACUGGAAUUCUACCCGAUUCCAAGAAUUUUGUGUGUUAUAGCCCAUGUCAUCGUCAUAAGUCCAUGCACUCGGACACGGAUCGCCUCGUCAUGACCAUUCCUCGUGUUUUGGCGUUUUAGGGCUACAAAACUAAAAUUUCGCCCGAUUUCCAGAUUUUCAUGUGCUAUAGCCCACAUCAUCAGCAUGGGUCUGACCCAUAAAAAAUGACAUACAGAAUAUUAGUCAUCAUCUCACCAAGACCAUUCCUCCUUCUUUGGCAUUUUAGGGCGACAAAAUCGGAAUUUCGCCCGAUUCCCAAAUUUUCAUGUGUGAUAGCCCACGCUAACUGCAAGGGUCAGGACUCCCAGACCCGGAUCGCCUCAAAUUUCCCCGGCCCAUCAAAAACAAUCUAAAGAACAUUAGUCAUCGCCUCUUCUGCCGAUUCCAUGAUUUUCAUGUGCUAUAGCACACGCCAUCCGCAUGGGUCUAGGCGCCCAGACCCAAAUCUUAUAAAAUUUUGUCUGCCCAUCGAAAAUGACCUAAUAAACAUCUUGGGCAUGACCGUUCCUCAUUCUUUGGCGUUUUAGGGCCAUAAAUUUUGAAUUCCGUCUGAUUCCCAGAUUUUCAUAUUUUAUCGCCCACGCCAUCUGUAUAGGUCCGGGUGCCCAGACACGGAUCGCCUAACUUUUGCCUGCCCAUCAAAAUUGACCUAAGGAACAUUUGGCAUCACCUCUCCAUAGCUGUUACUUAUGUUUUAGCAUUUUAGGGCCGUAAAAUAAGAAUUCAACCCGAUUCCCAAAUUUUCGUGUGCUAUAGCCCACGCCAUCAGCAUGUAUCUCAGCGCCCAAACCCGGAUCGCUUAAAAAAAAUCGGCCCAUCAAAAACGACCUAAGGAAUAUUAUUCAUCACCUCGCCAUGAUCAUUCCUUAUUUUUUGGCACUUUUAGGCAGUAAAAUUAUAAUUCCGCCUGAUUCCCAGAUUUUCGUGUGCUAUAGCCCACGCCAUCCGUUUGGGUGUGGGCGCCCGUACCCGGAUCGCUUAAAAAAUUUUCGGCCCAUCAAAAAUAACACAAGACAUAUUAUCAUCACCUCGCCAUGACCGUUCCUUGACUUUUGGCAUUUAAAGGUCAUAAAACUAGAAUUUUUCCCGAUUUUUAGAUUUUUAUGUGUUAUAGCCCACGCUUUCUGCAUGGACCUGGCCAGCCUAAACCGGAUCGUCUAAAAUUUUAUCGGACCAUCAAAUUGGAAUUUCUCUUGUUUCCCAAAUUUUCUUGUGCUAUAGCCCACGCUUUCUGCAUGGGCCAAGGCGGCCAGACCUGGAUCGCCUAAAAUUUGGCUGGACCAUCAAUAACGACCUAAUGAACAAUAGUCACCGCCUCUCCCUGACCGUUCCUUUUUUUUGGAAUUUUAGGACCAUAAAAUUGAAAUUUCGUCUGAUUCUCAAAUUUUCAUGUGUUAUAUCCCACGCCAUCCGCAUGUAUCCGGGCGCCUUGACCCUGAUCACUUAAAAUUUUGUGGGCCUAUUAAAAAUGACCUAAGGAACAUUAGUCUCCACCUCUCCAUGACCGUUCCUCGUGUUUUAGCGUUUUAGGACCAUAAAACUGGACUUUUUGCCCGUUUCCUAGAUUUUCGUGAGCUAUAGCCCAUGCCUUAUGCAUGGGCCCGGGUGGCCAGACCUGGAUCGCCUAGAAUUUUACCGACUAUCAAAAACAUCCUAAGGAACAUUAGUCAUCGCCUCACCAUGAUUGUUUCUCUUUUUUGGCGUUUUUGGGCGGUAAUACUGGAAUUUCGCCUAAUUCCAAGAUUUUCGUAUGUUAUAGCCCAUAUUAAUGGCAUGGGUCUGCGCGCCCAGUCCCAGAUCGCCUAAACUUUUGCCGGCCCAACAAAAGCGACCUAAGGAACAUUAGUCAUCGCCUCAACAUGACCGUUUCUCAUUUUUGGCAUUUUAGGGCGGUAAUACUGGAAUUUCACCCGAUUCCAAGAUUUUCGUAUGUUAUAGCCCAUGUCAUCGGCAUGGGUCUGCGCGCCCGGUCACGAAUCGCCUAAAAUUUUGUCGGCCCAUCCAAAGCGACCUAAGGAACAUUAGUCAUCGUUUCGCUAUGACCGUUCCUCAUUUUUGGCAUUUUAGGGCCGUAAAACAUGAAUUGCGCCUAAUUCCCAUAUUUUCCAAUGCUAUAGCCCACAUCAUCCGCAUAGGUUCGGGCGCCAGGACCCGGAUCGCCUAUAAUUUUGUCGGCCUAUCAAAAAUGACCUAAGGAACAUUAUUCAUCUCUUCUUCAUGACCCUUCCAUAUAUUUUGGCUUUUUAGGGCCGUAAAAUUGGGAUUCCGCCUGAUUCUCAUAUUUUCGUGUGUUAUAACCCAUGCCAUUCGUGUGGGUCUGGGUGCCCGAUCUCGGAUAACCUAAAACUUUUUCAGCCCAUCAAAAAUGACCUAAGGAACAUUAGUCAUCGCCUUUCCAUAACCGUUCCUCAUUUUGUGGCAUUUAGGGCCAUAAAAUUGGAAUUCCGUCUGAUUCUUAAAUUUUCAUGUGUUAUAGUUCACGCCAUCCGCAUGGGACUGGGGGUCGGCCCCGGAUUGUCUAAAAUUUUUCCGGCCCAUCAAAAAUAUCCUAAGGAACAUUAGUCAUCGCCUCGCCAUAUCCAUUCCUCAUUUUUGGCGUUUUAGGGCCAUAAAACUGAAAUUUCACCCCAUUUCUAGAUAUUCGCGUGUCCUACGCCAUUCGCAUGGGUCCAGGAGCCUUGACCCAGAUCGCCUAAAAUUUUUCCUGCCCAUCAAAAAUGACCUAAGGAACAUUAGUCACCGUCUCUCCAUGACCGUUUCUCCUUUUUUGGUAUUUUAGGGUCGUAAAACUGGAAUUCCGCCCGAUUUUAAGAUUUUCGUGUGUUAUAGCCCACACCAUCCGCAUGAGUCCGGGCGCCGAGACACAGAUCGCCUAAAAUUUUGUCAUCCUAUCAAAAAAGACCUAAGGAACAUUAGUCAUCACCUCGCCAUGACCGUUCCUCAUUUUUUGGCGUUUUAGGGCCAUAAAACUAAAAUUUCGCAUAAUUUCUAGAUUUUUGUGUGCUAUAGCCCACGUCAUCCGUAUGGGUCAGUUUGCGCGAACCCGGAUCGUCUAAAAUUUGCUGGCCAAUCAAAAACAACCUAAGGAACAUUAGUCAUCGCUUGGCCAUGACCGUUCCUCGUUUCUUAGCGUUUUAGGGCUACAAAUUCCACCUGAUUCCUAGAUUUUCGUAUCCUAUAGCUCACGCCAUCCGGAUGGGUCCGGGCACCCAGACCCGCAUCGCCUAAAAUUUUGUCGACGCAUAAAAAAGGUCCUAAAGAACAUUAGUCAUCUCCUCGCCAUAAACAUACCUUAUUUUUGGCAUUUUAGGGCCAUAAAACUAGAAUUUCACCCGAUUCUUAUAUUUUCGCGUGCUAUCCGUAUGGGUCCGGGCGCCCGGACCCGGAUAGCCUUAAAGUUUGUCGACCAUCAAAAAUUACCUAAGAAAUAUUUGUCAUCGCCUUGCCAUGAACGUUCCUCGUUGUUUUGCGUUUUAGGGAUGUAAAAUUGGAAUUUUGCGUGAUUCUAUAAUUUUUGUGUGAUAUAGCCCAUGCCAUCCGCAUGGGUCCAGGCGCCAGAAACUGGACCGCCUAAAAUUUUUUCAGUCAAUCAAAAACAACAUAAGAAACAUUAGUCAUCUCUUCUCCAUAAUCGUUCCUCGUGUUUUGGCAUUUUAGAACCGUAAAAUCUGAAUUCUGCCCGAUUCCCAAAUUUUCGUGUGUUAUAGCCCACGCCAUCCGCAUGGGAACAAGCGCCCGGUCCUGGAUCGCCUAAAAAUUUUCCUACCUUUUAAAACGACAUGAGAAACAUUAUCCAUCGCGAGCCAUGAUCGUUCCUUAAAUUCCGCGUAAUUCCCCGAUUUUCAUGUACUAUAGCCCACGCCAUACUCAUGGAUUCAGGCGUCUAACCCCGGAUCGCCUAAAAAAUUUUAGGCCCAUCAAAAACGACCUAAGAAACAUUAGUCAUCACCUGGCCAUGACCGUUCCUCAUUUUUUGGCAUUUUAGAGCCAUAAAAUUGGAAUUCUGCCUGAUUCUCAGAUAUUCGUAUGCGUCCGGGCGCCCGAUCCCUCACAGCCUAACAAUUUGCUGGCUUGUCAAAUACGACCUACAGAACAUUAGUCAUCACCCCGCCAUGGUCGUUCCUCGUUUUUGGCAUUUUAGGGCCGUAAAACUGGAAUUCUCCCUCAUUCCCAUAUUUUCGUAUACUAUAGCCUUAGCCAUCCGCAUGGAUCCAGGCGCCCGAACACGAAUCGCCUAAAAUUUUGUCGGUCCAUAAAUAACAACCUAAGGAACAUUAGUCAUCACCUCGCCUUGACCGUUCCUCAUGUUUUGGCAUUUUAGGGCCGUAAAACUAAAAUUUCGCCCGAUUCACAGAUUUUCGUGUGUUAUAGCCCACGCCAUCUGCAUGGGUGUCGCCUAAAAUUUUACCGACCCAUCAAAAAUGACCUAAGGAACAUAAGUCAUUGUUUCUCCAUGAUCCUUCCUCAUUUUUUGGUGUUUUAGAGCCGUAAAGCUAGAAUUCCUCACGAUUCCCGGAUUUUCAUGUGCUAUCGCUCACGUCAUCCGUAUGAGUCCGGGAGCCCGGACCUGGAUCUCCUAAAAUUUUGUCGUCCCAUGAAAAAUGACCUAUGGAACAUUAAUCAUCACCUCGCCAUGGCAGUUCCUACUAUUUUUGUAUUUUAGGGCUAUAAAAGUGGAAUUUCGCUCAAUUCUCAAAUUAUCAUGGAAUUUCGACUCAUGACAUUCGCUUGGGUCCGGGCUCCCGGACCUGAACCGCCUAAAAUUUUGCCGACCCAUAAAAAAUAACCUAAGGAACAUUAGUCAUCGCCUCGCAGUGGCCGUUCAUCGUUUUUUGGCAUUUUAGGGGCAUAAAACUGAAAUUUUGUCCGAUUCUCAUAUUUUCGUAUGAUAUAGCCCAUGCCAUCCUCAUGGGUCCAGGCGCCGGGACCCGGACCGCCAAAAAGCUUUUCGGCCCAUAAAAGACUACGUAAAGAAUAUUAAUCUCCACGCUAUGACCGUUCAUCAUUUUUUGGCAUUUUAGAGCCUUAAAAAUGGAAUUCUACCCGAUUUCCUAAUUUUCGUUUGUUAUAGCCCAUGUCAUCCGCAUGGGUCUGAGCGCCCAGAGCUGGAUCGUCUAAAAUUUUGCCGACCCAUAAAAAACGAUCUAAGGAACAUUAAUCAUCGCCUUGCCAUGAAUGUUUCUCAUUUUUUGGUGUUUUAGGGCCAUAAAACUAGAAUUCUGCUCGAUUCCUAGAUUUUCAUGUGCUAUUGAAAGCCUAAAAAUUUUCGGCCCUUAAAAAAUAACCUAAGGAACAUUAGUCAUCGUCUCGCCAUGAUCGUUCCUUAUUUUUCUGGAGUUUUAGGGCCGUAAAACUAGAUUUUUGCUUGAUUCCAAGAUUUUCGUGUGCAAUAGCCCACGCUAUCCGCAUGGGUCCGGCGCCCGAACUCGGAUUGCCUAAAAUUUUGCCGGCCCAUCAAAAAUGAUCUAAGGAACUUUAGUCAUCACCUCGUCGUGACCGUUACUCGAUUUUUGGCGUUUUAGUGGCAUAAAACUGGAAUUCUGCCGAUUCCAAGAUUUCCGUGUGCCGCCAUCCUCAUGGGUCCAGGCGCCCAGACCCGGAUGGCCUAAAAUUUUGCCGGACCAUAAAAAACGACCUAAGGAACAUUAGCCAUCCCUCUCCAUGACCUUUCCUCUUUUUGGCAUUUUAGGGCCGUAAAACUGGAAUUCCGCCCAAUUCCCAGAUAUUUGUGUGUUAUAGCCCAUGCCAUCCGCAUAGGUCUGGGCGCUCGGACCCCGAUCUCCUAAAAUAUUAGCCGCCCAUAAAAAACAACCUAAGAAACAUUAGUCAUCGUCUCGCCAUGACCGUUCCUCGAUCUUGAUGUUUUAGGCCCAUAAAAACUUGAAUUCGUCUGAUUCUCUAAUUUUGUGUGUUAUAGCCCACGCCAUUGCGUGGGUCCAGGAGCCUAGACCUGAUCGCCUAAAAUUUUGUCGGCCCAUCAAAAACGAUCUAAAAACAUUAGUUAUCUCCUCUUUAUGAUCGUUCCUCAUUUUUGCGUUUUAGUGCCGUAAAACUGGAGUUCCGACGGAUACCUAGAUUUUUGUGCGUUAUGCCCCCCCCCCCCCCCAAUCGUCUGGGUCUGGGUCUGGGGCCCGGACCGGGAUGGUCUAAAAUUUUAGUCACCCAUCAAAAUCUACCUAAGAAAUAUUAGUCAUUGCAUCGCCAUGACCGUUGCUCCUUUUUGGUAUUUUUGGCUCGUAAAACUUGAAUUUCAUAUGAUUCUCAGAUUUCGUGUGCUAUACCCCACGCCAUCCGCAUGGGUUGGAUCGCCUAAAAUUUUACCGGCCUAUCAAAAACGAUCUAAGGAACAAUAAUCAUCGCAUCUUCAUGAUCGUUCCUCGUUUUCUGGCAUUUUGGGGCCGUAAAACUCAACUUCCUGUUGAUACUUAGAUUUUCUUGUGCUAUGGCCCCAGCCAUCCGCCUAGGUCCAGGCGCCCGAACCCGGAUCGCCUAAAAUUUUGUCGGCUCAUAAAAAACGACCUAAAAACAUUAGUAAUCACCUCGCCAUGAACGUUCCUCAUUUUUUGGCAUUUUAGGACCGUAAAACUAGAAUUUCGGUCGAUUUCCAGAUUUUCGUGUGCUGCCCACGCCAUUCGUAUGGGUCCAGGUGCCCGGACCCGGAUAGCCUAAAAUUUUGUCGGCUCAUAAAAAAUGACCUAAGGAAAAUUAGUCAUCGCCUCGCCAUGACUGUUCUUAUUUUUUGGCGAUUUAGGGCCAUAAAACUAGAAUUCCGACCGAUUCCUAGUUUUUCGUGUGCAGCCCACGCCAUCCGCAUGGGUCCAGGAGGCCGGACCCGGAUCGCCUUAAUUUUUUUUGGCCAAUCAAAAAUGAUCUAAGAAACACUAGUCAUCACCUCGCUAUGAACGUUCCUUGUUUUUUACGUUUAAGGGUCGUAAAACUUGAAUUCUGCUCGAUUCCCAAAUUUUCGUCUGCUAUAGACCACACCAUCUACUUGGGUCCGGGUGCCCGGACCCGGAUCUAUUAAAAUUUUGCCGACCCAUCAUAAAGACCUAAGGAACAUUAAUCAUCGGGUCUUUAUGACCGUUCCUCAUUUUUGAAUGUUUUGGGGCCGUAAAAUCGGAACUCCGGCCAAUACCUUAAUUUUCGUAUGUCAUAGCUCACGCCAUCCGCUUAGGUCCAGGAGCGCAUACCCGGAUCGCCUAAAAUGUCGGCCAUAAAAAAUAACCUAAGAAACAUUAAUCAUCACCUCACCAUGACUGUUCCUCGGUUUUUGGUAUUUUAGGGCCAUAAAACUAGAAUUUUGCCCGUCUCCAAGAUUUUUGUGUGCGCCCACGACAUCCGUAUGGGUCCGAUCGCCCGAACUCAUAUGGCCUAAAAUUUUGUCGGCCCUUUAAAAAAUGACCUAAGAAACAUUAAUCAUCGUCUCCUCAUCAUUGUUCAUCGUUUUUUGGUGUUUUAUGUCCGUGAAAUUAGAAUUUCAACCGAUUCCCAGAUUUUCGUGUGCUAUAGCCCACAUCAUCCGCAAAGGUUAGAGCGCCUGGACCCGGAUCGCCUAAAAAUUUUUCGGCCCAAAACAUAUGACCUAAGGAACAUUACUCAUCGCUUCGCCAUGACUGUUCCUCAUUUAUUGGUAUUAUAGGGCCAUAAAACUAGAAUUCCGUCCGUCUCCUAGAUUUUCUUGUGCGCCCCCAACAUGGGUUCGAUAACCUGAACUCGGAUAGCCCAAAAUUUUGUCGGCCCUUCAAAAAUGACCUAAGGAACAGUAUUCAUCGCCUCGCCAUGACCUUUCCUCUUGUUUUUGCGUUUAAGGGCCACAAAACUGAAAUUUUGCCCGAUUCCUAGAUUUUCAUGUGCAAUAGCCCACGCCAUCCGCAAGGGUCCUGCCGCCCGUACAUGGAUCGCCUAAAACUUUUCCAUCCCAUCAAAAAUGACCUACGGAACAUUAGUCAUCGUCUGGUCAUAACCAUUCCUCCUUUGUUUUACAUUUUAGGGAGACAAAUUCGAAAUUUCGCCAGAUUCCUAGAUUUUCGUGUGCGGUAGCCCACGCCAACUGCAUGGGUCCAGACACCCAGAUCAGGAUCGCCUCAAAUUUUGCCGGCCCAUAAAAAAUGACCUAAAGAACAUUAGUCAUCGCCUCGCAAUGACCAUUCCUCGUUUGUUUUGGUUUUAGGGCCAUAAACCUAGAAUUCCGCCUGAUUCUCAGAUUUUCAUGUGCUAUAGCCCACGCCAUGCGCAUGGGCCCUUUUGCCCAGAUUCGGAUCGGUUAAAAUUUUCCCGGCCAAUCAAAAACAAUCUAAGGAAAAUUAGUCAUCGGCUCUUCAUGAUCGUUCCUCGCUUUUUGACGUUUUAUGGCCGUAAAACUAGAAUUCUGUCGAUUCCCUAAUUUUCAUGUGUUAUAGCCUACGCCAUUUGCAUGGGUUCAGGCGUCCGGACCCGGAUCUCAUAAAAUUUUGUCGGCCCGUCAAAAACAACCUUAGAAGCAUCCUCGCCAUGACCUUUCCUCAUUUUUUGGCAUUUUAGGGCCAUAUAACUGGAAUUCCGUUCGAUUCCCAGAUUUUCGUGUGCUAUGGAUAGCCUAAAGUGUUUUCGAUCCAUUAAAAACGACCUAAGGAACAUUAAUCAUCGCCUAUUCAAGACCAUUUCUCAUGUUUUGGCAUUUUAGGAUAGUAAAACUGGAAUUCCUACCGAUUUCCAGAUUUUCGUAUGCUAUAGCCCAUACCAUACGCAUGGGUGCAGGCGUCGGACCCGGAUCACUUAAAAUUUUGCUGACCCAUAAAAAUGACCUAAGGAAUAUUAUUCAUCGCUUCGUCAUGAUCGUUCCUCACUUUUUGGCGGCCUAGGGCAGUAAAACGGGAAUUCUGCCCGAUUCUCAUAUUUUCGUGUGUUAUAGCACACGCCAUCUGCAUGGGUCUAGGCGCCGCGACUCGGAUCGCCUAAAAUUUAUUUGCCCAUAAAAACGACCAAAGAACUAUUAGUUAUCACCUCUCCAUGACCGUUCCUCAUUUUUUUGGCAUUUUACGGCCGUAAAAUUGGAAUUCUGUCUGAUUCCCACAUUUUUGUGUGCUAUAGCCCACGCCAUCAAGAUGGGUCAGGGCUCCCGGAACCAGAUCGCCUAAAAUUCUGUUGGCCCAUCAAAAACGAUCUAAGGAACACUAGUUAUCGCCUCGCCAUGAACAUUCCUCGUUUUUUGGCAUUUUAGGGCCUUAAAACUAGAAUUCCGCCCGAUUCUUAGAUUUUCGUUUGCUAUAGCCCACGCCAUCCGCAUUGGUCCAGGCGCCGGACACGGAUCGUCAAAAAUUUAGCCGGCCCAUCAAAAACGACCUAAGGAAUAUUUGUCAUCGUCUCGCCAUUACCUUUCUUCAUUUUUUGGUGUUUUAGCGCCAUAAAAUUUGAAUUCCACAUGAUUCCCAUAUUUUCGUGUGCUAUUGCCCACGGAUCAGGAUGGGUCUGGCCAAAGAUUGAUGACGUCCACAACACACCUCGAUAAGAGAUAUGAUACGAUCGUAUGCAAUAUAAAUUACCUAAAUAUGAGUCGAAGUCGAAUCCACUAGGGUUAUAAGGGGUGUUAGGAGUAUAUAUUUGAAGAAAGCGAAUGGAUUAACUAAAUUUGCACUUCCACAAAGAGUUUUGAUUUCUACUUCUACUAUUGCUUUAACACUUGCGAGCUAAGUAAAAUAAACUAGAAAUGAAUAUUUUUUGGUGUUUUUCCAAAUAGUUUAAAAGAUUAGGGAUGUGACUAUAACCUAGGUGUUCGCCUAAUGGGAUACAGACGUUAAUAAUUGUUUUGUUGAUUAGAGUGUAUUAUAGCUCUCAACUCUACAUUAUCCACUCAAUACCUCUCGGUCAGAGAGUGAUUUUGCCCAAUUUGACUCUCUCAAGCCCAAAUAGGUAUCAAACAAAAUAGUUGAUAUGAGCUCAAGUCGGGUUCUUAUUAUCUCUAGUUUGAACCCUUGAAUUAGGCUAAUCUAACUCUCAAUUAACCCAAUUUCUCAUUAGCCAAGUUAUCUCAGACUAGGUCCAUCUUUCUCAAGUAGAGACUAAGUUAAAAAGGCAUGAAUCAAUGUUUGCAACCAUUAAUUCUAAAAUUGAAGCACUAAACUAGGCUAAAUAAUCAACACCCAAUCAUAAACAAGCAUUAAAUUAAAUACCCAUAAGGUUUCGCACUAGGGUUAGGCAACCCUAGUAAAAAUCUAGCUACUCAUAAUGGGUAUUGAAGAAAAUAGAGAAGAAAUGCAAAUAAAACCCAUAAUAAAAGAUUAAAUUGAUGAAGUAUAAUGUUUAAACACUAAAAUAAUCAAAAACAUCCUAAAAGGUAACGGCUACAGCAGCUUUAAACUUUCAAAGUUGACAUAAAAUUGUGAAACUCGUCUAUUUAUAGUGGGCCAAAUAUCGCUGACAAAAAUGCCCCUCAUGAGGUUCUGCGGCAGUAUAAUUCCAUGUGCGGUCCGCAAAUUUCUUCAUCUGGCAGGAGAGUGGGUUUUGCAGCCACAUAUAUCUGGAUUGCGGCUGGAAAGCAACUUCUGCGCCCGCGCCAUUCUUGUGCGGUCCGCACUUCAGCAACGUGUCAAGACUUGGUCUUUUUGCAUAUUCUCUCAACUUUGAAUUUUUUUGUCAGUGAAAGCCCUAUUCUGCGGCCGCACAAUUCAUGAUCGGUCCGUACAUUGGUCAAAAUCAUGUUGGGUUUUGUUGCUUGGUUUGCGGCCACAGAUGAAAUUCUGUGGUCCGCAAUUUCUUCUGUGGACCGCACUUUUUUGCCUUUACGCCCUUUAAUGCCUUGUGCUUCGGAACACUCCUUUUUUAGUUGGAUUUCAUCAUGGUAGACUGAACUUCCAACAUUCCUGCAAUUUUUACAAUUUUAUUAGUUUCGGGAACGUAAAUCAAUACUUUCGGACUAAAACAAAAGCAAAAAACGUGCUAAUAAGUAGUCAAAAUCUCCACUUAUCAAAGCCCGAACAGAGAUCACCUAAAAUUUUGUCGGUCCAUCAAAAACGAUCUAAGAAACAUUAGCCAUCGCCUCUCCAUGAACAUUCCUUGUUUUUUGGCAUUUUAGGGCCAUAAAACUGGAAUGCCGCCUGAAUCCUAGAUUUUCGUUUGCUAUAACCCACGUCAUCCGCAUGGGUCCGGGCGCCCUGACCCGUAUCACUGAUGGUAGGCUAUAAUCUCAUAUUUUAGUUGAUUAUUGCACUCGAAUUCACUGCACUUUAUUUGUGUUUGAGCUUUAAUGUAUUGUUUUGCACAUAAUGUGUAUUUUAUGCCUUGUAGGAGCGAUUCCGAGUUAUGUAGAUAUUGUGGAGCUAAUUCGAGCUAUUUUGAUCUUUGAAGUUUGAGUAAAAUCCCAAGGGGUUAAGUCGGGAUCGUGUUCGGGGAUUAAUGGACGAAUAAUGCACUUAGUGGAAGGAAAAAGAGUUUAGAAUAAUGCACUUGGGCGCGCAAGUGAUGCAGUGUACUGCUAGAGGUGCGCGGCCAUGUACGCUACCGGGAACUUUACCCAAGCCUAUUUUUGUAAUUUCGGAGGUGACUCUUUUUGACCUAUAUGAAGCCUAACUCGUCUCAAAAUAAGGUAUCUCAGAUUUUGGAGCAACUUUUGGAGAGAAGAAGGCAAGAAAACAACGGAGACUCAAAAUACUUCAUCCAAUUCAUUCAAUACGGAAGUUUGGUUGAUUUUGGGAAUUGUAAUGUCUUCUUAUUCUUCUAAUACUCUUGUGAUAAAUAACUUCUCCACUAUGGAGUAAUCUUUCUUAGAGUUAUUGACAGAUAUUGUGAUUUGACUAUUGUUUAGGGUUUACUCUAUGUUAGUUGCCUAAAUUCGUUGAAUGAGUUAUUAAUUGAAUGGCAAGGCCAAUAUUGGUUUUACUUUAAUCGAAAGAGAAGUGUUGCUGUAAUUCGCAUCGUGUUAUCUCGUUUGGGUUGAUUUUACACCUCCCAUAGGUAACCGAAAGAUCUUAGAGAGUCAUCAAUUGACCCAAUUUGGAAGAAUAGUCGAGAGACGUUCUUCGAAAGAUCAUUCAUUCAUUGUAUUUUUGUAUGUGUUCAUAGGACCUGUCAUUACUUGGUUAACGGAACUCUCAUUCAUUCGGAAGAAGAAUUUGAAUCCUCAAGAUAGCCUAAUCAUCUGUUAAAAUCGAAAGAGUCAAAAGAAGUUAAGACUGAACUUAGCACGGAGUUACCUAGAAUAAUAAUUGAUCACAUAUCUUGUCGCAUCCCUUACUUCACACCUUGAUAUUCAAUUGUUGCUACUUAGUCACUAAAUUUCUAUUCAUUUCUCACAAUCAAUAAUCUAAGUUUUUAUUAUUAGUCGGUAACACUUAAAUCAAAAGUUUAUUUUCCUGGAUAGUGUUAAGCUGAAGAUUUAUUAGAACAUUAUUUAAACCAAUCCCUGUGGAGACGAUCUAAUAAUGUACUAUCUUUGACUAGCGAGCCUAAGUGUUAUACACCGAUUUUGUGUUCGUCAAUCACCUAAAAUUUUGUCGGCCCAUAAAAAAUAACAUAAUAAAUUCAUGUAGAGGAUUCGGGGCCUGUCGCACGAAUUCAUGUAGAUGGCGUGGACUAUAGCACAAGAAAAUUUGGGAAUCGUCCUUAUUUCCUAUUUUAAGUCGUUUCUGAUGGGCCCACAAAAUUUUAGGCGAUUCGUAGUUUGUCGCCCGAAUUCAUGAAGGUAGCAUGGACAUUAGCACAUGUAAAACUGAAAAUCGUCCUGAAUUCCUAUUUUAUGGCCCUAAAACGUCAAAAACGAGGAACAGUCAUGGUGAAGUUAUUACUACUGUUAAUUAGGUCGUUUCUGAUGGGCCCACAAAAUUUUAGGCAAUUCGAAGCUCAUCGCCCGAAUUCAUGACAUGCGUGUUAAGGGUUUAGCUCGAGGAAUGUUUUUCCAAUAACAAUAUGUUCCCUUCAAUAUUUUAUAUGUUAUUUCAAAUCGAAAAAGUUUGUGACCUAUAGUACACUUUAGUUAAUUCGGUUUAAAUUUUUAGCUAUGUAAAUUUUAUUUUAAUAUUUUAAAGAUUUAACGUACUUCCAAGUUUAAAAUUCAAAAUGCUACUUGCAAAUUGUAAUGUUUUGAAAUUUGAAAGUUAAUACUGAAUUUUGUUUUCAAAUUCUCGUCUCUAGGUCCAACACUUUUCUUUUUGUAUUAAAAUAAAGGAAAUCUCACGAAAAUGUCCCAAAUAAGUUCCAAUUUACCAACCUUUAGUCAUUACCAAAACUAGUCAAACACAUAUAAAAAUUUAAAAUCCUUCUUCCUUUCCAAGAAUCACACGCAAAGAUCUCCUUGCAUAUUUUGAGCAUGAUCAGCAACAUUAGAUGCAAGAUGGAAAGAAAAUUACAUAGAUGAGGUAGCAAACAAGAUGAUGAAAUACAAAAAAAUAUAUAUACAAGAUUCCAAAAAUUUAAGCAAAAAAGGACCUUUUUUUAAUGGGUAUGGUUGAAAUUCAUUGAAAACAUAUAGAUGAGUCAAUAUACAAAUUUUGAGGAAGACUGGAGGUGAUUUCGACUGAUUUGGUAUCAAAAUUCGUAGUUAAAUCAAGUUCAAAAAAAAUUUCCGCGACACAUGUAUCACCCAUAUAUAUACACAUAGAUAUACAUGGAUAUACAUGUGAUACAUAUUUGAUACAUAUGUGAUACACAAAUGAUACACAGUAUGAUACACAUAUCAUUUUUUUCCAUGUUUCAUCUUCUACUUUGAAUUUUCAAUUCAAACCACCUCAAAACUCCGCCAAAUCAUCUCAAAACUGAGAUUCAAACACCUUAAGAUGUACCCAAUCUAUUCUAAUAACACGCUAAGAAAGCAAAAAAUGGAUAUAUUUUUUAUUACAAAUAGCUAAUUGGCUAAUAUUAGUAAUACAAAUAGCUAAUUGGCUAGUAGUUUCCCUAAAAUAAAAUAGUUAUAGAACAAAUAAAACCCAGCCCAACUAAACCUGAACUUGGCCCGACCCAACAAAUUUACUAAAGGGCAAAUAUCACUUAUAACCCGUGGCCGAAACUAUUUACAUCAGAUAGCUGCAAAAGUAUAUAAACUUUAUAUAUUUUUUUGUAUAUAAUAUGCAUAAAUGUAAAUAUAUACAAAAGAAUUUAUAUUUUUUUGGCUACUAUCUAUACAAUAUCAUUUUCCCUUUCACUUGGUCAUGAGUGUGUCAAGCAACUCAAAUGUCAAAGUGGCCUAACUCCGAACUGGGCUCCUUAAGCUGAGUCCGCUCCGACUUGUCCAUAGAACCCAUGGGCUGAAGACGGGCUGGGAUCUAAGUUCUCACCCAGCCCAACCUAAUUGACAAGUCGAGUUCAGUGUGCUGGGUUGCUUUAUUAAAAUUGUUGAAGAGUUGUCCCUUUGUGGUUAGGCCAUUUCAACAAUCCUUAUUGAUAAUUGUGGUUUCCCGAUUAGCUUACGCACACCUAGAUUAAUUUUACGAGUUACCUAUUACCUCUCAUUAAUACAAGUACGAGGUAACUCAGUCCAGUAAGACCUCAAAAUAUAAAAAUAAAUCACCUAUUUUUUUUGCCUUGGUUAAAAUUUGAACCCAACUCUCAACCCACUUCAUAGGCCACUAAGCUAUAACCCUGGUUGACAGGUCAUUUCAGUAAUCUGCAACAAACAAAUUGUAAAGAGAAAACACUCCACUAAAGUACUAUACGUCCUUUGGACAAAAUUUUCAGACAUUGAUGGAAAUCAAACUUUAUACAUGAAAUUCAGCCGAGUUAAAUCAUUUGCUUUGAUAUUUUAUACAAACACAAAUAAAAAACUAGAAAUGUAAUGAAAUUUCACUUGAAAAGAAUAUCAUCAAUUUAUAAGAAGAAAGACAAGGGGAAAUUAAAGAUGGGGAAGGACCAAAAUAGACUAGUAAACAUUAGAAACCUAUAUGGUUUCAAUUAUAAGUUCUCUUAGACUAGUUUGAACCUACAACAUAUCUCGCUACUUUUCCUUUUCAUAGAGCUUAUAUUAGAUACCUUAUAACUAUCUACAGACUGAAGCUCAGAGCUUGAACUUUCCCAUAGGAGGAACAUCACCUCUCAUUACUCUCCAAGGGCCGCCAUAAAACAUUGGUUUCAUUAGAGGCACUUCUUGCCCAGGGUGUUCUUCCCAGUAUUUUUCCUGUCAUUGUGGGAAAAGAAGCUAUUAUAUCAAGGCACGAAUUUGAACUAAUAGUAAACUAAAGGCUGAAAAGGAAAAUCUGAUUCUUAAUAUACGAGGGAAAGUCGUCUACUCUGAACAAAUAAGUACUACAUAGCUCGUAUUAUACAGAACACGAGUAGGCUACUUAUCUUCUCUCAAGGCAAUGACCUACACAAAACAUUUUUAGAAAAGGUUAUGGCUAGAGGAAAAAUAACUUGUUCCGAAAAGCAGAUACAUACUGAAAAAAUAAGAAUUAGAUCUAGGAGAAGGAAAGAAAUACAGCAAUUUGACUAGACAAGACAAAUUCAGAUGAUUCUCCUACCUUGAAUGAAUAAAUCCUUUCAGAUAGCGAGGUCAAACUAUAUGCUGGUUCCAACCCAUUGUACACAUAGGUUAAACAGUUGAGUGGCUAACUUGAUUUGCACAUUGAAAAUACUAAACUAAUAACUGAAGCUUGUUCAGUGAUGAGUUCUUACACAUCAAACUCCUAACUUUUGUUCCUAACUCACUUUUAUGGGAAGUGCAAAUUCAAAUAAUGAAGUUCCACACAUCAUUUACUAAUAAGAAAAAGGAGUUCCACCUGUGGGAAGUUAAUUUUUUUUUAUCAGAAAAGGAGUUCCACUCACUAUUCAGAAGUUUCAAGUAAAUAUGAUUAAUCAUUUUAGUUUGUACUUUCUGCCAGCGACCCUCUCCUAAACAAAGUAGUAAGGUGAAGUAAGUCAGCGUGAUCAGUUUAAGAAAAUUAUAUGCAUUCCCAGUCAAUACUGGGGAGUUCAUACCCUGCCAAUGCCACUCCAACAAUGGUGCUCUUAACUUCCAAAACUAACUUCACAAAGGUCCAAUUUCAAAUCUGUCAAAAGGAAUUUCCAAGCAUUUAAUGCUACGAAAUUAAGGAUCUAAAGAUAUUAUACCUUGUAGAGUUGCUCGGUGAUGGCUGCCCCAAUAACCCCAGUAUAAAAUGCACAAACAUAGAUUGUGACAAGAGGCGUAAACGAUUUUGGUCUCCUAAAUGGUUCUACCAUAUCCCAUAGAAUUGUCUUCUCCCACUUUGUGUACACAUAAUCUGCAUAUUUCCUCCACAUAUAGGUUGCCAUUUCCACGAUAUCCUUUAAUUAUCAGCUGAACUGCACAAACGAAAUAUCUGGUUAAUUGGAAGAUGUAGAUGUCCACAUGCAGAAAGCAGUAAGACAAUUUAUUAGGGAUACUUUUGUUUAAUGCAGGACGUAUCAACUUUAGAUAGCCCAUAUUACUGUAAAUUUAUUGGCAUAAAAGCAGUCUUACAAAUCAUUCUAGAAAAACAUAAUAUCAAUAUGGAUGAAGACUAUAAUAAAAGAAUCAAUAUUAACAGGCGGAAAAUUUGCAAGAGAAAAGAAGAGUAACAUUUUUGGUAACAUUAGGGAGAUCUGUUAAGGAGGACAGAGUAUUCUUGCUGUUUAACUAUCUCUAUGUUAUCAUCAGCAACCUACAAGGUGAGAAUCUAAUGUCUGGUUAUUUUCUACACUAAUGAUCACUAUAGACUAUGUUAUUCGGAUCCUCCUAAAAUCCACCACACCUGUGUCGAAUCCUCCACUAUACUUUACAUAUAAGUUCUUUUAGCUUUCAUAUUUUCAAUUGCAUUACAAACUAACUUCACUAAGAAAAAAAUGGAUUUCAGUAAUUUAACCCUAAUUUUUAUAAUUAGCUAAAAGUUAAUCAAAUUUUUGGUCUUCUAUACAGGAAAUAGAAAUCCAGUACUAGCAAGAAAAACCACAGUAACACAUUAAACUAUAAUUAGAGAUCAGUUCAAUUUCAAAUCAACACACAAUCAGCUCUCAAAAUAGGGAAAAACACAGCAAAAAAAUUAAUCAGUUAACAAGUAAUUAAGGCGUGCACCCACUGCCUCCAGUGGCACAAAUACUCAUCAAAUUAACACACCAUCACAACUAUAGCAAAUUAUAGUAACUCAAAAAUAACUGAUAUUGAAGCUGAGAGUUUGUUUAAGAAAUGAAUCAAACACAGCAAAACUCGCCAUAAUUUGUAUUAUACCAUUCAAAAUCAUAGCCAAAUGCAAAAGAUAAUAAGCUAAUUAGAUAUCGAGAGAGAAAAAUACCUAGAGAGAGAGAGAGGAACGGACGAAGAUAAAUUUUGAUUUUAAAUUUGAUUCCGUCGCGAGGAACUCUGAAGAAUUGACGAGUUUGCUGCAAAAUUAGAGCAAGUUAGUGAUGUUGGCAAGAAGUUUAGGCCCACUAGAAGAUUUGGGCUGGUCCAAGUUCAUUCGAAUGGGUCCAAAUAACGCUGGAUGGACCUUUUUUAAAGGGCAUAUUAUACAUAAGGCCGGUCGACCAGAAAUAAUUACAUUUGCUAGCUGAUAUAUAGAAAAUAUACACAGAUUAUGUGUAAAAUAUGUAUAUAUUUUUUAUAUUAUAUAUUAAUAUAAAAAAUAUAUUUAGACAACUAUUAUUUUUUAUAGCGGCUAUACAUUGUAAUUUUUUUCUUUUUUAACAACUAUUUAUAUUUUAACCCAAUUAAGAAAUAUUUUGGGAAAAUAGCCUCGCACCACAUUUUUAAAGCAUGACAAGCAGGAUUUUGCUCGAUCGCCACAAUUUUAAAGUAAGCUGGGAAGAAUUUUAAAGCAACCAGCAGUCCAUCACAAGAAUUUCAACCAUAAAGCUCCAGUGAUAGUUAGAACUUUGUGGCAAAAUUCUGACGAUCACCAUAUUUGCUCUCUGUUUUAAGAUUAUGCCCAAUGAGACAAUCGAAUAAAAUCCUGCCCAGCAUGUUUUAAAAUUUUGGCAUGGGCUUUUAUCCUAAAAAUUUUAUUAUCGAAGUCAAAAGAUCAAUAGUGACACAAAAAUAUCUUAUUUGUGUUGUUAUUCUCCUUUCCUUUUCUUUCACAGUAACAUAAAGGGAUCUAAAUGACAUCAAACUAUAUUUGUACAAAAAGUUGCAUAUCUUAUUAUUAUAAAUAUCAAAACAUAAAGAAUGGCUACUUUUUCUCUCGAUCAACUAGUAGAGUUUCAUGAAUAAAGGAGGCUCAAAACAAUGGGGAGUGAUCUUUUCGGAUUGGUCCGACUCCCGGUAAAGUAAAUGUCACACUCCAAUAAUCUUCGUUUCCCCAAAGGAUAUGACGUAUCUGGAUUACAAAUAAAUAUUCAAUUUCUGGUUUUAAUUUGGGCAUACAAAUUUAGGAAGCGUACUUUUCAAACAUAUGCGUUAGAAUUUUAAACAAUUAAAAAAUUUAAGAUCUUGGUCAAGAAUAAAUUUUUUUGACUCUUCAAAUUGUAAGUUCUGUAGUUUGGAUGGAGCUUUAAUUUUUUUGCACUUGUAGAAGAUUGCGUUCUAAUUCUUUUUAGAAUAUGGAGAGAAGAAGGGGUAAUCUUAAGCAAAUGUGGUGAUAAUUAGGCAGAUGUAAUGUAUAUACAUCAGUUACGGAUUCAUCCGACCCAAUAAUUAUGGUUAAAACCUUGUAAAUACGUUGAAAAAUUCACUAAAAAGUACAAACAAUAGAUUUCAAAUAUAGAAAAUCGACUGAGUUGUGGUAGAGAAUUCUGAACUCCAACUCAUAAUGUUCAAAUGCUAGAUUUGUGUAUAUUAUAUGUAUAAGAUAGGUCUUUAUAUACCUUACCUCUGCAUUUAUGGUGUUUAGAAUAUUACACAAUGUGGUCACUUAGAAAGUAAUUAUAAACUUCUUAUUUUUUCACACUAAAGUAAAUUAUCUACAUCCUUUUUGGAUUAUCAAUUCUCUUUCUACAAAUAAUCAGUUAUAAUUUCUUCUGUUAUAGGCUAUUAAUUCCCGAAUCUUUAAAAUAGCUAUCAAAUCUAAUCUGUGAAAACUACCUACAAAUAGGUAAUAAAUACACAAUUGCAUCGCAUAAUCUAUAUAUUAUUAAAAGAAGAAAAAAAAACCUCCACAUUAAGCCAAGUAAUAAUCUCACAAUAGGUCACUUGGCAAUUUAGGACAAAGUUAAUUAGGUUAAGUAAUAAUUAGUUUUUUUUUAAUUUAAAUUUUUUUAAAAAAUUAUUAUGCAUUACGUGUUGUUAAUAAUUAGUUACUCUUGUUGAAUUUGAAUUUAAACAUACUUAACUAUUUUUUUGCGAAAAUAAUAUUUUUUUAUAUAUUUAGAAUUAUUUCUAUUUUACACUUGAUGUCAUCUUUCAAGUUUGACACUCAUAAUCAUCUUGUUACAACUACCAUGGCAAUACAUAAUUUCAUCCGACGACAUUCUUCUACCGAUAAAGAAUUCAAUUAUUAUGCUAAUGAAGACAUUACUGUAAAGAUUGAGAAAGGAGAUGGGUCUUCUGGUGUACCUUUAGACAUGCAAGGCAACUCUUCUGCUAAUAUGGAGGCGUUGUGUGAUAGAAUUAGAGAUGAAAUUGUUGAGAAACAUUAUCAUGUGUGGGUGACUUUGCUUAUUCAUGGUGGAUUAUCAAUACAUAGUAAUUUGUAGAAUAGACUUCUAAUUCAUACUGAAUGAUGACAAUAAGUAAUUAUACUAGAUAAUAUUAUAUGCUUUGUUAUAACUAUAUAUGUUAUCUUGAUUAAAAUCUUUAAUAUGUAUGUUUACUUUAUGUUUUAUAUUUUAAUUAAAUAAAAUAAAAAAAUAAUAAAAGUCUCUUACCAUAAAUAUUUAAGUUCAUUUUUCUCUUUAAAAUAUUAAUAAGACCUUGGUACUAUCCUUUUGGUAAAAGCACUUUUUAGAAAGAUUGGCCAAACACAAUUUGUUUACCAAAUAUUGCAAAAAGUACUUCUUAAAUGAAUUGGCAAAACACAAACUAUUUUUUUCAAAAGUACUUUUGAAAAAUGCACAUCUGAAAAAAAAAAUACUUUUCAAAAUAAGCAAUUUUUGGCAGCUUGGCCAAACGGGCUGUAAAUUAUAGAGAAAAUUACCUUCAUUGUCAGUUGACCCAACAUACCAACAAAAUUAGGCCCAUAUUUUAGGUCCUUACCCGAUUUAACCCAGUUUGUACAUAAAUUGUAAAAUAGUUUUCAUCGGUUAGCCCAAAGCACUUAAAAGGUUUUUUCUUUCUUUUUUUCUUCAUUCCCAACGCACCCAAUUCUCUCCCUACCACCUCUCUUUUCUUUCUUUCUAACCCAAACAGAUCCAAUCAUCCUCUCUUACCCUAGCCUCCAUUAUUCCUCCUCUAAACAAUUCUGGCUCAGGCUCCUCCUCUGUCGUCCAAGCCCACAAAAUCUGAUGGCGGCAAGCAGAAGAAGAAUUUAAGAUUUUGAAAGAAAAAUGAAAACCCAUGCAUAUCUGAAAUCUUUAGCUCUCAAACAUGAUUAACGUCGAGAAAUAACCAAUAAUUUUGGAAGAGUUUGAAGUUUGAAAUUCGGAACAAUAUUGUUACAACCGUGAAGUCUCGGAUCUGAAACCGGAUGUAUCUUGUCUGGGUAUUAAAUUCGGAAUCGUUCGCAUAAAGUUAUAAUACCUGCUGCUACAACUCGAAGUUGGAAUAAAAAAUCAUAACCAUGUAGCAGUUUGUAUCAACACUGUAUAAUUAUGUAUAUGAAUGUAUAAAUACCUCUUAUACAUUAUUUUUUGAUAAGGUAUACAAGUUGAUAUAUUGUUUACAGUUAAUGUAGUGUUGGACAUAAUGUGUUUUCUAGUGAAAAUAUUGUAUAACUAGUGUUUAUAUAUAGUUAUAUAGUGUUGUAUACUUAUGUAUAACUGUGUAUAAAUGUGUGUAUUUAUGUAUAAUGUUGUAUAAUUAUAUGUUUUUAGUUUAUAAGAAUCUAGAUACAAUGUCUGUGCAUAAGAGGCCUCCAUGGAAGUUUGACACUUUCUUCUCUUCUUUUUUUGUAAUGGGCAAUAUGAAAAAGUUUUUAUAUGUGCUAGAGGGAUUAUACAAUUCUUUUACCAAGUUUUGAUUUUUCGUUUAUCGUGUUCGAUUGCUUCAGCAAUUGCACAUAAAAUUUCACUUUUAAUCUAAAAUUUGACUAACAAUUUUAAUAUGUGAAAACCCAAAUGUUUCACCACUUAAAAGAGUACUAGAAGAUUGGAAUAUUUUAUUGAAAAAUCAUGUUUUGCCAUAAGAAAAAGAGAAAAUAGGAGAAAUGUUUAUUUUAAUACAUAAUGUGUUGGUAUUUAAGUUGUGGAAGAAAAAGAAACAAAGACAUGGACAAAAGUUUUGCGGGGGAAUUCGGGAGAUGUGGGGGGGGGGGGGUGUAACCUUGAGAAAUUGUAAAAAUAAAAUUAAAAAAAUCUUGCCAUACCAUGUGAAUGAUAUCAUAUUACUAGAAAAAGAACUGAUUGUUAACAUUUAUUGGGCCAUUGUCACACCUCCUUUUCACCGAGGGAUAGGGAAUAGGAAGCUUUUUCAAUUAAAGUGACAUUAUUCAAAAUGGGAUUAUUUAUUUAUUUAGAGUUGCCACUUGGAAUAAUUUAUGGUGUCCCAAGUCACCAGUUUAUUUUAGAAUCCCAAAUCAAGGAAAAUGACUAUUUUUGGUCUGCGAACACAGAAGAUCGGGUAAGGAAUUUUGUUAACCCGGGAGAAGGUGUUAGGCAUUCCCGAAUUUCGUGGUUUUAGCACGAUCGCUCAACUAUUAAUAAUUGACUUAAUUAUCUGAUUAAUUACAUGUUUGAAACCUAUUGUGCAUUUUGAACUUUCUAACCGCUUUUCAUUAUUUCUAUCGCUUUUGGUAUUUAUGGAAUUUAUUUGAAUAAGUCCCGAUGUCGCGCACUUAUUGUUUUUUUGAACACUUUGUGAAUCGCGUCACGUGAAACGCACCCGCGAUUUACAACAUGUUUAUUAUUAUUAUUUGAAGUUAUGGUCGAGUUACGUGAAAGGCACACUCGAAUUGGGGUUUACGUAUCGUAAUUAAGCCUCGGGAACCGUAGCCAUAGUCACGACGUUUAUUAUUAAUCGCGCCUAAAGCUCACUACGAAUAUUUUUAAAUUAUUUAUUUUCCUAAGAUUUGAGAUCCAUGUGAGGCCAUGAAUUAUGGAUAUGAGUGUGAGGCAGUAUGGAUUGGAUCGUUAAUUUGUUCAUAAGAUGGAUUGCAUUAUGUCUUGGUUCAAGGCUAAUAUUCUAUCUUUACAAUAUCUAAGAAGUAGCGAAUUAAAACUAAUCUGAAAUUUGCCUCAAGUUAAGAUCAGGCCAUUGGCUUUUAAACUAAAAAAAAUUUCUGCCGAAGCUAAAUGAAAUGGAUUGUAUGGAACAACAAAACCAAUUAUGGAAUCAAAUGCUGGAACUAGUAAACUAUAACCCAUUUAAUUACAUAACUGAAAAAUCACUGAUUUACCUUACUUAUGGAUUUAUAUCCUACUACAAUAGCAUUCAGGAUCUAAAGCUACAACAGUAAUCAAUUCAUAGUAAAUAGAGCCGAUAUAUGUAAUGAAAAUAUGCUGCUAGUUUUCACAAUAACUCACCACGAAACUAAUUCACUGCUUAUUCUAGCUUUUAUUCAAAGUUAGUAACUUAAAUUCAUGUUCAUGAUGCAUUGACAUUUUUAUCCUCAAGGAAUGAACAUUUCAGUAACAAACAAUCCAAUUCAAAACUCUUGCGAAUUCACUAAGUGCUCAAUUAACAGUACAGUUGCCAAACAUGAUGAUAUUCAGCCACUAACAUGCUGAGUUUAGACCAAAACAGUAGUAGCGAAAGCCAAAAUUAUCAACAGAUAGAAACAAACAGGCAGAUCUGGUAGUCAAAGCAUCCGGAUUCCACAAGAUUUAGCACGUUCAUAGAAUUAGCACUCAAAUAUUCAUUCAUAGUCAAAUAAGAGGACAAUAAGAAUAGGCAGACGCACCUAACAAUUACAGAACAGCAGUAGACGGCCAAAUAAAAGUCUAAAAUGAGGAAUGGAGCUCAGCUACUCAACAAUCGCAACAGCAGCAAUGAACAGCCCCUUAAGAACUCGAUUUGACCUUGAAAACCGACUGAAUUCGUCCAAACAAAUCGGCAGAGAAUGAAUUUUUUUCACAACACCUGGUUUUUUCAAAUCUUUUUCUUUUUUUGAGAAGCUCAUUUGAGGAGGGAGGCGGAAGUGAGCGGCUGCUCGAGAGAGAAGAAGAAGAAGAGGAGGAGGAGGGAGGCGGCUAAGGUUUUUGUUCCAUGGGAGGGUCUAUGAAUGUAUAUGAGUGUGAGGGUUUUAGGCAGAUGGGCUUGGGCUAGCGGAUGGGUUUGGGGCGAGAAUUGGGCCUCUUAUCACUGGCCCAUUUGAAAACAAAGUAAAUAGCCUCUUUCUUUCCUAGUCUAAAUAAUUUCUAAAUUGACCAAUCUAAUUCUAACUAAAGCUAACUUUGCAAAAUUAACCUAAUUAUCCAUUUUUCUAACAAUUAACUAAAUUAUUUAACUAAUAAUGCAUGUAAAGUGGCUAAUAUAUUUUUGGUAUUUUAAUGUUUUACAAAUACAAUUAAUUAUGCAACUAAAAUCUAAAAAUAUAAAGAUUACAAUAUUUUUGUUAUUUUUUAAGAUUUAAAAUGCUACUAAAAUGCACCAAACACAAAUACGCACAAAACAAAUUAAGUAAAAUAUAGAAAAAUUCCUAAAAUUUUAUAAAAUAAUUAAAAGCUAUUUUUUGAGAUUUUUAGGAGUAAUUUCAUAUAUUAGGCAAAAAUUACGUGCUCACAAACAUCCGAUAAAGAUAUUGUUUUGGGCUAAGCGGUUGAAAUGCAUUUUGUUCAGUUGUACUUUUAUGAAAUUCUCCCUAAAUUAUAUCUAACUUGCUAUUGCAGGUUAAAAUUCAUUGAUAAUGUCAAAAAAAAAAAUUACACCAUUAAUAUAAUAUAUACAAUUUAAGGUGUUAUGAAAUUACUAAUACUGGUAAAUAGCUAAUGUAUCAUGUCAUCUUUUCGUGUUGACUCUAAUAGAACCAGAUGAAAUGAAAGAACACAAAAGCCUCCUAAUUUACUGCAAAAAGUAAGAAGGAAAAUUCAGGCGUACGUGUUUGUAACAUUUCGUUAACGUUCAAACUUUUUUUUUGUUUUCUAUUGUUGUGGGUUGUACGGGACCGUGGGAUGAGGUUGAGAUGACACUGAAAAAAUAAGAAAUUCUAAUAAGUUUUUCUAUCUCUUUUCGUUUUCUCUUAUUUUCGUAUAAAAGUACAUACCACUUUCUACUUCGGUUCAAAGACGGGUUCAGGAUUUUGAGUUAAUUAAUAAGUUCUAGAUUCCAAAACAUAUAGCUUGUUGGUCCAGGAUAAUUUAUUUUUACAUGUUAAUUUGAUUUACUAACACAAAUAUACAAGGGAUAGGCUAAAGUUAUUGAGUUUUGUUGAAUUCGUAUGUAAAACUGAAGCUCGCUUUUAUUUUCAUAUAAAUGUAAGUACUGCUUUCUACUGCAAUUCAAGGACGGCUUCAAGGUUUUGAGUUUUAUGAUUUUAUAUUCUAAAACAUUCAUCUUAUUGGGUCCAGGAUAAUUUAUUUUUACAUACUAAGUUGAUUUUUUAAUACAAAUAUAUAACGUAUGUGUCACUGCCGUAUGUAAAAUUGUAGUUCCCCUUAUUUUAACUUCUUAUAAAGGUACAUAUUACCUUCUAUUUCAGUUCAAAGAUUGGAUUUUGGAUUUUAAGUUAAUGAGUUCUAGAUUCUUAAAUAUACAACUUAUUGGGUCCAGGAUAAUUUAUUUUUACAUGUUAAGUUGAUUGUCUAAUACAAAUAUACAUUGUAUGAGCUAAAGUUAUCGAAUUCUGCAUAAUCCGUAUAUAAAACUGUAGCUCCCCUGAGUCCGCAAACGACUUCUGCGAACAUCAAGAGCUACUGUUUAUAAUGAAACAUCAGAAUAAUGAUUCAUAGAUAUGAGCCAUUCAUGCCAGCCGCGCACAGUGUAAGUGUCACUUUAUAUUUCUGUUAAAAGCAUAAUUUGUUUUCUUUUGUGAAGCUGGUCCCAAACCCUAAUACUCUCUUUGCGUACCCAACCUAAACAUCCACAUAUUUUUGUCAAGUUGAUCAUUGUACUGACUGAUAUUUUACUGAAAAAAGAAACUUAUUACUCUUCACCAUGUUAUUUGAGUACAUAGAGCUCCUGAAUUCAAGUUUUUACUGUCACACGUUAUUAAAAAGAAUUUUCGUGUACUUGACUCAUAAAAUUAAAAUAGGACUGCCCGUAAAGAGGAAUAUUGAAAAUAUAAUUUAAGUAAAUGUUAAGAUUUUAUAUGUAAUUGUCACCCUAGUUAAUUAACAGAAUUCACUUCUUUCAUGCGUUUUAUAAAAUAAGAAAAGGUAAAAAGAAUUGUUCUGUAUAAUAUCUAAUAAACUAGUGUUUUUCCUAAGCCGAAAGUCUAUUGAGAACAGUCUUUAUACUACGUAUACACUACAUUCCACAGACCUCCACUUAUGAAAUUAUUCUAGGUCUGGUAUUAAUUAUUGUUGUUGUUGUAAUAUCUAUGAACUAGUAUAUAAAAGAAAUAGAAGAAUUAACCUAAAAUGCCGUUUACCCAACCUCUUUAACUAAAAAUAGCCGAUUGAUCCAUAAUAUUAUGUAUAAUAUGUGUAUAAUCUAUGUAUACAUGUCAGAAAAUACGUAAACGUUUAAUCCGACCGAAUAUUUCUGUAAAUAUCCCUAAAGAAAAUAAUAUUUACGGUUUUGGAGAGAAUAUUCAUCAAUAAACUUGAAAAUCAUCACACAAGCAGAUAGAUGAACAAGUGAUAAAUGUUCUUGUUAUCAUCUUGCUCAAAAACUAUCAUUAUAAGCUUACAAAGAUCACCACCACACAAGAUCAAACUUACUACUACUAGUACUACUUAAUUUCUUAUUAAAAUUUUCGUACGUAGCUUGACUUACAUGCUACAACUGAUCUCACUCUCACUAAUAUUAUUCUAGCUAUCAUUAUGAUCUCAAACUCAAUUUCACACUACUAAUUUAGUGCUAAUCCCUUUAAUUAACUCAAGAAAUUUAAAUAUUACUCAACCAUGAACAAGGCCACUAGAUAGUGCCAUUAGCAAAAUUGCAGCUUCCUUCUCAUCCUGUGGAAAAACGCGAUGUAACGCCAAAUUGUUGCUCAAGUUGACGAAGAAAUCCUCGAAACAAAUCUUCUUUUGUGCAUUAUUAAUAGUAGAUGAAGAUGAUCCAACAGCAGCAGCAGUAGUAGAUGUUAUGAAUUUGCACCUUUUCUUGAAGGGUACAACAUGAUUGUUAUUCACUUUUGUAGUUAUCUUCUGUUUCUGUUGCACUUUUAUCUUCAUUGCUGUUGCUGUUGCUGUUGUUGUUGUUGAUGUUUCAGUCGUGAAAUUUGUCCCAUUUGCUGCAGCUGCUGCUGCUGCCAUGGCUCUCCUUGCUUUCCUUUGUCGAAUUCCACAUGCGUUACAAAGUGACUGUACCAUUUAAAGAAAUAUAUACACAAUCAGAUCAUAUAAAAUUUUUUGACAAGUAUUAACUGGACGCCUGAUAAAUGGUAACUAACUACUAACACAGAUAAAAUUACAUUGAUAGUAUAAAAAAGGAAAAAAUGAUACUGUGCAACCGCUCUCAAAGUAAUAGCCGAAAAAUAUUACUUAUUAGAUCUCAUGUGAAUUGCGGAAAGCUCUUUUGUGGAUUAUUAUUGUUCACUCCUGCAAUUUGAUAACUAUCCUUAUGCAAGAGUAAAAAAUAAUAUUAAUACACAAAAGAGUUAUCCACGAAUCACAAGAGAUCUAAUGUUUGAUCGGACGCAUAAAAGGCGAAUACAUAUAUCUAUAUAUAUUGUGUGUGUAUCUAUAUGUAUACAUCCUGCAUAUCACACAUUUUUGUGAUCAUUUAUUUCUACUUAUCUUCUCUAACUCCAAUCAUUUAUAUCCAUGGAUUUAUUGCAUUACCUUGAAUUGCUCUUCUACAAAGUAAUUGACGAUAACACUCAUACAAAUCAUCAUAGAGAGUAUUUUCUUGUUCGUAUUGUUGCGUUUAUAGACAAUUCUAUAAGCACAUGAACACAUGAGAAUGAGAUGUAACAUCAUGGUUUGUCUAUGUACCUGCUCUCCCAUUAUAUCCAACAUUCUAU
rnacentral:lncRNA from 1 species